AUCUCAGCAUUGACACUAAGAGCAAAAUAUUUUUGUUUGUGCAAGUGUAGGUGGGCUCACUCACACAUGUGCACUUGAUUUAUGAUUAUCAUCGCCUUGCGGAGUGCUACAGCUCACUUGCGAAAAGAAAAGAAAAAGGACAAUUUAUAUCCCUUCAGGGUUUGUUUGGGGGUUUUUUACACCUAAAGGGUCUUUAGAUUUGCUUUGAAUCAGCAUCUGAAAAGCACAGGGUCAGCUAGGCUCCAUUCAUUGCUCUGAAAAGGGGAGAAAUGGCAGCAGGACGACCCUGACGCUCCUCACUGCAAAAUGACAUCUGAUACUUGAAACGCAGAAAUAAUUUAAGGAGGGUUUUUUUCAAAAAACCAAGUGAUUCCACCUUUUGAAUGGCUGUCGUUCCUUGGAUAAGUGGAAACAUCUUCUGGCUUGCAGCGUAGCAUGAAAGUAAGUUGUCUUCCAUUUGCAAACAACUUCUAUGCACAAAAUACUUUUAAUAUAAAUGAUCAAGGCUGCAAUCCUGUGGACAGGUCAUUUCUCAUAAGGCCUGUUUCUGCAUUAACUCUAUGGCAUCUUUUGGAGGGGUUUAUUUGCCUGUGGUGUAAUUUAAAUGUGUGUUUUUGAAUGUAUUUUCACUCCAAAUAUUUCUAUAAGUUUCUAAGUGUAUUCACUCUCACAGUAUUUCAAAAUGUGGUGUUUUUUAAAAAAAAAUGCAUUUCUAAAUGUAUUCGGCCUCAAAAGACCCAUUUUAAAACGCAUUUUGAUGCCUCUUUGGGGGCUAGGCCUGCCUUAUACUAUUAGGAGAGCAAUUCCAUGAGGUGUGUGUAAGUUGGCUCAUAUCAGAAUUCACAAAUCCUGAAUUCCUCAAACAUCCAUUGUGCCCUGUAUGCCAUUGAAAGUGCCCCAAAAACCUUUGCAGGUGCUCAAAGAGCUUCUGUCACACAUGCAGGUGUUCCUAGACAGACGAAUCAAUAUGGAGUAGGUACCUGACGGCAGCCGCUGUCACCUCAGGUAAAACAGGUUUUGCCAGCUUCUGAAGUGAUACAAAAACUUUCACUCCCCCUUGCUUACCAGAAACAAAAUUGGAAUGACUGUACACACCUCCAGCAGCAACCUUUUCUUCAAAAUACCUGCUCAGCGAUCGUCUGUCUGUCUCCAGCCUAGCAGAGUUUCGCAAGUAUUGGCCCAGGAUAUAAACAAUAAUAAUAGUAGUUAAAAAAAAAACCACCAAAAAACCCUUCGCUUUCACAGCCGUUUGGUGCUUUGCUCUCAUCUAAGAAGCUGCCAAUUUCUCUUCACCUCAGAAACCUUUGCAAUUUCAAGGCUGAGACCUCAGCCGUAUAAGUUAAGUUAUAUGCGCUGUAGGAAAAAAGCCUUUCUUGUCAGAAAUAAUAGCCAGGCUUAAGCUACUGCCUUGAAUGUCUCCCACCACAACAUUAAUUAUUGACAAAUAGCCUAAGCCAAAGAAUUUCACUUCUUAGGACUGGCCACAAUUUGACCGCUGUGCCAGCAGCACAGGGACAGAGAAGCAACCCUUUCAGGUCUAGCAUGCACAGCUUAUGACCUACAAAGCUGAAUUUGGGCCACCAUAUAUGGCAGCCCACCAAGGACUUGAUUUUUAAAAAAUUGAAAACUUCCUGUUCCUGCUGCUUGCUGGGAGCUGCCAAAGUGGGACUGUUGCUAAGCAUCUAAUAGGUUGCUGGACUUUCUCCUUACCAGUUUGGCUAGCCAAACUGCACCCUCCACAGAGCAGACACAUGAAGGAUUUUCCUUGGGAGUGGCAAGGACUAAAGUAGAGAGCUAGAUACCACCAGAUGAGAAAGCACUGGUUGUUUUCCAAGUGCACAGCCUUUUAUUUCAAGAGAGCAUACUUUGUUAGUGGGAUAAAGGGGACUCUAAGGAGGUCGGGUGGCACUGUGGGUUAAACCACAGAGCCUAGGACUUGCCUGUUAGAAGGUCGGCGGUUCGAAUCCCCGUGAAAGCACGUCAAAGUGCAAGUAGAUAAAUAGGAACCGCUCCGGCGGGAAGGUAAAUGGCAUUUCCGUGUGCUGCUCUGGUUCGCCAGAAGUGGCUUAGUCAUGCUGGCCACAUGACCCGGAAGCUGUCUGUGGACAAACGCCGGCUCCCUCAGCCUAUAGAGCGAGAUGAGUGCGCAACCCCAGAGUCGGUCACAACUGGACCUAAUGGUCAGGGGCCCCUUUACCUUUACCUUUAAGGAGGUCAGAAAGAAGCUCAUUCUUUGCCAAUGACCACAUUCUCCCAUAAAUCCUUCCCUUAGGAAGCAGACUGAAUCUCACGUCCAAUACCAAAAGCUUAGUCUCUCCGGAAUCCCAUGAAAGACGCACUCCUAAGUCAACCCUAAAGGGACUGGGAUGCACUGAGAUGGGAUGCCAAUCAUGAGAUACUGAAAAGGGUAGACCUUGCAUCUAGUAUUGGCCACCGAAGCUUCCCUGUAAUGUUUUAUUGAGAAAACAUGUUAAACAUGAAACUCCACAGCAGGUCUCUAAUAGAAGCAGAGUCUUGUGCAGUUCAGGAGCACUGCCACUGCUUCCCUAGGCUUCUGAGAUUUCAUCAAGCACCAAAUCUCCACAGCCAUGAUGCUCACUGGGUGACUUUGGGCCAUUCAUUCAUUCUCAGCCUACCCCACAGGGUAAUAAUAAUAAUAAUAAUAAUAAUAAUAAUAAUAAUUUAUUAUUUGUACCCCGCCCAUCUGGCUGGGUUUCCCCAGCCACUCUGGGUGGCUUCCACAAAGACCAAAAAUACACUAAGAUGUCACACAUUAAAAACUUCCCUGAACAGGUCUGGCUUAAGACGUCUCCUGAAUGUCAGGUAGUGGUUUAUCUCUUUGACAUCUGAUAGGAGGGCGUUCCACAGGGUGGGCGCCACUACCGAGAAGGCCCUCUGCCUGGUUCCCUGUAGCUUUACUUCUCGCAAUGAGGGAACCACCAGAAGGCCCUCCGCGCUGGACCUCAGUGUCCGGGCAGAAUGAUGGGGGUGGAGACGCUCCUUCAGGUAUACUGGGCCAAGGCCGUUUAGGGCUUUAAAGGUCAACACCAACACUUUGAAUUGUGCUCGGAAACGUACUGGGAGCCAAUGUAGGUCUUUCAAGACCAGUGUUAUGUGGUCUCGGCGGCCGCCCCCAGUCACCAGUCUAGCUGCCGCAUUCUGGAUUAGUUGUAGUUUCCGGGUCACCUUCAAAGGUAGCCCCACGUAGAGCGCAUUGCAGUAGUCCAAGCGAGAGAUAACUAGAGUUGAAAGUGCACUGGGUGGUUGUGAGGAUGAAAUGGAGUGGAGGAGAUGAAUGUAUGCCACCUUGGGGAAAGGCAGGAUAUAAAUGCAACCAACGAACAAAAUAUAUAACUUUGCAACUGCAAGAAACAGAAAUUUCUUUUUCUUAAAAAUGCCCAGGUAAUAAAUGCUCAAGUAAUCUGCUUACGAACCAUACUCAAAGCUCAGGUUACAUGAUUUGAGAAAAAAUAUGUGUUGGCUCAGCCAUGUUCCCUUCCGUGACACAUCAAUUUUAAUUUGGAGCCAGCUCCAAUAGAGCCUCGUUUCAGUGGCGUAGCGUGGGUUGUCAGCACCCGGGGCAAGGCAAGUAAUUUGCGCCCCCUAACCCGUGGAUUUUAGCACUCGAGUCUUGAGCGCGCGCCCCCCAGAUGUUGCGCCUGGUGCAGCCAGCCCCCCCUGCACCCCCCACGCUACGCCACUGCCUUGUUUUCCUCUUCUUUCUUCUCCUUACGUUUUCCCCCCUCAUCUUCCCAUGAUGAAGACAGAGGAAGGAGGGGACGUAUUUGGUAUAAUGAAAUGGCAGACCAAAGGGGGAAAUUAAAGAAUUGGAAUCAGUAGCCAGAUGCUGCCAAUUCAAAAGGGGGAGUUGGCAUAAUAAACUCAGACAGAGACUCUCUAAGAAUCCGCUCCCUUUAGUAUGAGCCACUAAUCUGAUCAAAAAGACCAAGCAGGAGUCUGAUUUCCCAGCUGGGGACUGCUUGGCUAGCUGUUAAUAAUUUUCACACCAGGGAAGCAUAAAAAAGCCCUUCUCGAGUUAAGAGUGUUUUGCUUUUAUUUUAAGAAGGGAUCGCCAGUUCCCCCUCACCUCAGGCAUCCGCUGGCACCCAGCGCAAACAUUCCUCCACAUUUUCACAGCCUCUUUCCAAAGCAGACAAGAGCAGCAGCAGCAGCAGCAUCAAAUUACUUUGCCAUCUCUAUUCCCCAGCCCUGAUUUUCUUUUUCUUUUUCGGAAUCCCACACUAGUACUGGCUGCUCUGGGGAGGUGGAGGGGAAGGCUGAGAAAAUGGCAAGGCAUUAAAAUGAUUCCUCUAAAACAAAACAGGUCACAUUACCUGCUCUGUUUUUUCCUAAUCAGCUGGAACAAAUUGAGGCAUUUUGGGGACCUGUUUUUACAUCCUGUCCCUCCCCACGCACAAAAAAAGGUUUCAUUCCAGCUUCCAACAUUCUUCACGUUUGAGUAACUGUAGAAACACAGUGGCCCCUUUACUGUUUUUAACAGGCCAUUUUUAUACUGCCAAGCCAGCAGGACGACCAUUCUAGGAGAAAAAAAAGUUUAAUGUAAAAGAGAUUAAGGAACAGGUUAAAGCUGAAAUGCUUUAAAACAGCAUUUUCCUCUCAGGCAGAUAUUUUAAAAACAGAACAGGGGGCGGCAUUCAACUACAUUUUGCUCAGAGUGGAGCCACUGAAAUUGACAAAUAAGACAAAUGUCAGGUGCAUUAACUACAAUGGGUCUCUCUGAGUAAACUUAGUUGACUACCACUCAUAACUCUUUGUUCAGGGUAGGAGUUCAUAUUUUUGCCUGCUUGACCAGCGGGGUGUGGCGAAAAAAAAUCAAUAGAUUGUACAGCAUCCAAUUAAUAAUAUUUUAUGGUUGGAUAAGUACCAAAUCUGAAAUGCAUUGAUUCUUACCUUUCUCAGCACCUAGCACAGAUAGUACAAAAUACAUGUUAAAGAAACCUGUUUUCUGCCUGCAGUUCUACUAAACUAAACUAAUAGUCCACCUGUAUUUCUAUUUCAAUGAGACCAAUUAUUUCUAUUUUUAGCCUUAUGUGUGAUAUCCAAAUCUACAAGAGCAGCCAGCAUCAGUUAAGUUCAAAGGAGAACCGUAUAGCAUCCCGACUCAUUUGGGACCAUCUUUUCCCAUCCCAAAUCCACCAGUAUUUUCCAAGUCCAUAGGCAUUCAUGUGCUAUCUACCAACACUGCUAUAAAUGUGCACAAUUUCCCUUUCAUUAAAUGUGUGUCGUUCGUAAACUUAAGAAGGAUGUGAUCAAAUUUGCUUGAUUGAUUUCCAUUUCUGACCACAGAUGAACAUGCAGACAACGGCAUCUUCUGCUUCCUUUUCCAUCCCCAUCAUUAUGGUGUGACACCCCUAGUUCUGGGGUAAGGAUAAGACAUGAAGCAGACACAGGAGUAUGGGAGAAAGGUGAAACAGAAUCCCAGUGCAGCCACCACAUGUAUGAUAGUAAAACCAAAAACACUAAAUUGCUCAAGCAGAGGCAGCAAUCCCAUCCAUGUUGAAGAAGCAAAUGUGAGAGUCAAAGAUGCGCUUUUCUUUUUUUCUUUUUCAAUCAUGAUUUUUAUUGAGUUUUCCAUGUUUCAUUUCAUUUUAUAAUACAUAUCCCAAGCUUACAUUACUACUCCAAGCGAGCAAUGACUUCCUUCCAUCACGCUUUCUGACUAUCCUAUUGUUUUAACAUAUUUGUCACAUUUCUAUAAUCACUUCUUUACCAUAUAUAAUCAUUUAACAAUCACCCUCUCAUUUGUAAAAUAGCUCCUUCUUUCCACAUUACAAAACAUUUCACGUUAAUGCUACAAAUGUUUUCAGGUGUUUACAACUUUCUUUCAAAUAAUUUAUAAAUUUGCUCCAGUCCCUUUGAAAUCUUUUGUCCAGUCGAUUCCUAAUUUUCUCCGUCAACUUCACCAGUUCAACAUACUCUACCAUCUUUAUCUGCCAGUCAUCUAGGGUGGGGAGCUCUUGCUGUUUCCAUCUUUGGGCCCGGAGGAUUCUUGCCACCGUUGUGGCGUACAUUAAUAGGUAUACAAAAGAUGUGCUUUUCUUUUUAGCAAUACUUAGACUAUAGUUCUAUAUACUGUUUAGAACUAUAUCUAUACCGUAUAGAACUAUAUACUGUAUUAGAACUAGCCUGUAUCUAGUUCUAAUGAUAUUAGCUCUGUGCAGAUGUUCUGAGCUGUGCAUAAUCACCAUGCAAAGGGGAUCGGGAUUGUGCUGAUCUCCAUGUGUUGACCAGGCUUUGUGCACAGAGCUUCCGCACAUAAAAGCUGGACAUGCGCAGCCUCUGAGCACUUUGAUCCUUUAUCUGAAUGUUUGCAUGGAAGCUCAGGGCUAAGCCAGCAGGGCUGAUCCCAACUCCCCCCCCUCCAUAUGUUGCACAGAUCUACUAUCGUUCUUAUAAAUGGAUGGGUCCCAUGCUGUUGUAUAUCCUUCCCUUGGAGAUGUGGCAGGCACUAGUGAUAAUGGUAUUCCACCACUUAGUUAAAACAUACCUAUUUCCAAGCGCUGGGUUGUUGUUUUUUGUACCAGCCUGAUUGGACAUUCUGGAUAUCUGUGCUUUUAGUAAUUUGCUGUUCUUACUGUACUGCUUUUAUUCCCUAAAUUGCCUUGUCAUUUUACAAUGAAAGGGACGUUAUUAAUAAUACAAAGUGAUGCCAAUAACCGUAUAUAGGACUCUGGUGGUGGUUGUUGUUGUUGUUUAGUCAUGUCUGACUCUUUGUGACCCCAUGGACCAGAGCAUGCCAGGCACUCCUGUCUUCCACUGCCUCCUGCAGUUUGUGUGGGAUGUGAAACACAAGAGCAGUCAAGUACAACAUUUCUAGAGUGAACGUGUUUACACAUGGGGAGGAAUGUUUGUCCAGCCAGCAGGUAAACUUCCUGUUUCCUUCUGGGCUGGGACAGACUUCCUCUGCAUGUGACUAGAGGUGGGCGUGGCCUCACCUGUGCAAGUAAUGACAAAAGCACAGGGCAGGGCAGCCAUCUCUCUCUCUAUGACUACAUGCAUUGAAGAAGCAACAUCUGCUUAGCCAAAGAUGCUCUCUUGGCCUCCAGCCAAGAGAGGACAAAUCGACUGUCUCCUUAUGAGAUAGUUUCCAGGUGUAUGUUACUUUUCUAAGCUAAGUCUGCCUUCUGGGAUCUGAUUGUGAACAGAAUGUGAAUAAACUCUUUUUAUACUUUUAUAAAAUACUGUGUUGUGUCUUAUCUUUUAUGAGGGAAUAAGGGGGAAAUACCAGAACAGUUAUUAUAGAGGCUCUCGUGAGGCGGCCAAAGUAUUGGAGCCUCAGCUUCAGGAUCUGUCUUUCCAGUGAGCACUCAGGGCUGAUUUCCUUAAAAAUGGAUAUGUUUGAUCUUCUUGCAGUCCAUAGGACUCUUACUAAGUGCUUAAAGUGUUUGUGGAAAUUGGGAGCUGAGGGUGAAUGUUAGUUACUUAUUGCCAAACGUUAGAGGGAAAAGAUCAGAGAUGUUUGCCACCCUACUUUUGAGCUUCUCUAAAGCAUUUGCUGGCAAAAAAAUGGUGGCCAGGAGUAAGUGGUUUUCAGUGGGUGUGGCAGGAAGGUUCAAGGACAAUCAAAGCAACAUUUAAACAUUUCAGUGUACUAUAGUACAGUAUAGCAUCAAAACAUUUUUUUUAUUUGCAGAAUAUGGAUAGGUACCUUUUCAAAAUGGGAGCAAGAUUUAUAUCAAUAAUUUUUUGGUACAGCGCAUGCAAAUUUUUAUUCUGAAAGUGUGGCCCAGAGGAAAGAAGUUUGAGAACUACUCAAUGGAUGAAUCCUUUGUCUGAUUCAACAAGGCAAUACUUUUUGAGCUGGGGAGUUCCUGGUACAUGAUUCAGUCCUUUAUGUACUAUAUACGUCAUUACCUCUUUCAAAUAUUAACUACAGGCUCUAUAUGCCAAGAAUGGAAUAAAAACUCACAACUCCCAAUUUACAAAGCAAUGUUCACAAUUCCAGGCCAUAAGAAGGGUCCUGCUGUGUUAGAGGCCGAUUUAAUGCAAUAUUCUGUUCUCAUAGUCUCUAACAAGAUGCCUCUGGGAAGUCUGUAACCAUGACUUGAGCAUAACAGAAUUUUAUGCUGGGGCAUCCAGGCUCCAAAGAACAAUCAUUUCCUAUGAAGAGUUACCAGUGAGGAUCCUUUUCAUUGGAAAUGAUAUCCAAAAUAUUGUCCAAGUUCAUAAUCUGACAUAGCCACUGUGAGCCAGACCAAGCAGUGGUCAGAAAUGACUUUAUAUCACACCUUCCUCUUGCCUGAAAAAGCUGCAAAGUUGUAACCAUCCCUGUGCGGUUUUGAUGUAGGUGAGAGAAAAAUCUUGCUUUACCAUCAUUUUCCCCCUUGCCUUAAAAAAAUAAAAAAUAAAAGGUCCAGCAGGCAAGUGGAGCAUCGCUCGGUGUAACUAUUAUUUGCACCUUUUUUCAUUUUAAAUCAAGUUCAUCUUUGUUACGGCUAAUUUGACACAUUACGAAACACCAAUUCAUUUGCUGUAAAUCAAACUGAGCACACUGUACCCUUGUUAGGAGCACUCGCUAAUUGUAGUCUAGAAUUUGGGGUUUUAUCAAGAAACGUGCCUAUGAUUACUUUAAUUAUAAUCAGGUUUAAUUACAGAAUGUUAAAGAUACAGAGCCAAUAAAUUAGUAAGUGUGCUGCUAGGGAGAGCCUUUAUUUGACACAAUGUUAUGAAUAUUUGGUCACAGGCCAGUUCAUGCUGCUUUCAAACUUACUUUCCUAAGGGACAGCACAAAAUCUCCCAAAGACUGAAAGGAAAAAGCUCCAUAGCAAACCAAAAAAACACAAACACACACAAACACACCCCUCAUAUGUCCUUUGGUUUGCUGUCUAGCAUUUUAAAGUAGACUUCAUGCUUUGAGAUUCAAAAUGGUCUAGGGACCCAUUAGUCUUUGAUUGGUUUUUAUCUACAUAAGCAAUUUUGUUAUGUUAGUAAGUGAGCAAACAUGGUGAAGGAAUAAGACCAAGUCAGCCUCUAGAAUAUCCCGCUAGUCCCAACACCUUGCUGAAGCUAAACCAAAGUACAUGUAUAAAUGAAAUGAUGGCAUAUUAUUUCACUGUUUGCCCCAUUGCUUUCAUUUCCCCCCUCUUUCACUGUAGUUACCCUUUCUGUCAAUUUUUAGAUGGCAAGCCUCUUGGGGCAGGGACCUGUCAAACAUGUAAAGUUCCUUGUACCCAGAUGGUUCACCAACAGAGUAGGAUAGAUGAUAGAUAGAUAACUGAGAAGUAAAUUCAGUUUUCAUUCUACAAGCACUGGUGGAUAUUAUUGAAUGCUGUUCAACCACCACUCCCAGCUCUAUUCAAAUGUCUGAAGGGGCAACAGAGAUUCUCGCAACCCGAUAUAGCUAUGUCUGUUCUGUGACGAAAUUCUUCCCCCCAUCAUGAAGCAAAUUUUGUAUCUUCAGUUUUGAAUUUUAAGUACUUUUAAAAAAAAGCUUUGAUUCCUGUUUAUUCUAGAAAUGGUACAAAAAUUCAGCUUUCUGGAUAGUGCAGAAGUAUCUUUGCUAUUGAGGGACGCGGGUGGCGCUGUGGGUUAAACCACAGAGCCUAGGACUUGCCGAUCAGAAGGUCGGCGGUUUGAAUCCCCGCAAGGGGGUUAGCUCCCGUUGCUCGGUCCCUGCUCCUGCCAACCUAGCAGUUCAAAAGCACAUCAAAGUGCAAGUAAAUAAAUAGGUACCGCUCCGGCGGGAAGGUAAACGGCGUUUCCGUGCGCUGCUCUGGUUCACCAGAAGCGGCUUAGUCAUGCUGGCCACAUGAGCCGGAAGCUGUACGCCGGCUCCCUCGGCCAAUAAAGCGAGAUGAGUGCCGCAACCCCACAGUCGGUCACGACUGGACCUAAUGGUCAGGGGUCCCUUUACCUUUACCUUAUCUUUGCUAUUGUGGGAUACACUUCGCAUCCUCUUUUUAUUUAUGGAAAUAUUUAUAUACCACCAGCUCAUGUAAAAUAUCAGUGCCAUCUAAGCAUUGCAGCUAGAUUGUACUUUUUCUCAGUUCAGAUUGAAGCUGGCUGGUGGGAGGGGAAUCCAUCAAAAUGCAGUCUUUCUUAAGGAAGAGCAGGAUAGGUAUGGGCUGUGGUUGGCAUGUGUGCACCACUUCCUAAACCAGGAAGCACGCAGAGUAAACAGGAGUGGGUACACAGCCCAAGAAAUGCCUGAAAGUCAAUAGAGAGGGUGACUGGCAUGAGACCAGUUCGUUGGAAGUUGUGGGUGGGUAGUUGGUUGGAUUUAGUGGGUUGGCUGGUUGGGAAAGGCAGUUGGUAAUAGAGAGACAGUUAGGGCAAUGGGUUCUUGAGUGUGGGAAGGUAGAAGAGAUAGAGAGAGGAAAAUAAGACUAAGAAAGUAAAGAGCAACAACAUUUGGAAUGCCGUAAAAGUUUUGUUUGUGUCUGAAAUAAAAUACACUCGUCUUUAUUAAUUGAGAAGCUGACUAAGACUGAAGUGAUUUUACCAGGGGGAACCUGGUUGGUGGCAGCGGUUUAGUGGUGUACGGGUCAAUAGUCCGUGAGACGACCGGGAGCUCCGUACGAACGCCACAAAAUUGCCGUUCUCUAUUGAAAGUCAAAUGCCCAACUUCUAGUUGAAGCCAGUCAGGCCUUUGUAACAACAGGGACACAUGACAACAUCCCUCUAGGUCAGUGUUUCCCAAAACAGGCAAUACUCGGCUCCCCCAGGGCACUGGAAGGAUCCAGGGGGGCAGUAGUAGUCUCUGCUGCAAUUCGGAGGUGGAGGCUGUUGAAUAAAAAUAAGGAGGCCGUGAAGGAAGAGAAGAAAACUUUGAAAAACUGUUUGUAGUUGUGAGUUGAGGACCCGCCACCCGCUUAGAGAUAAAUAAGACACAAGGACACAUGUAUUUUAUGUUUAUGGGCUAAAGAAGGCCACAACUUUAUUGGUUACAGCAUGUGAGUGGUAUUGGCUUAGGCAUUGGAUCAAACAAUCUAUACAUGACUCCACCCUGCUCAGCGGGAGUCCUUCGAAGGUUAACAACCAGUGUUGUAACAACCAGUGGGAGGAGCUUGUUGAUGCAAAUACAACUGGAAGCUUCCCCUGAUGUCACUGGGGGUUGUGCCAUGGCCCUAGCCACCAGCAGGGCAGUGGACAGGAUCCACGACCGCCGGAUUCCUUUAACGGAAUACCCAGCAAGGGGAGGGGUAGGUGAUGGCCACAACCUGCCCUCCAACACACGACACAUAUUCCAAUGCCUAACCGCCAUCCGAGCCAAAAGAGGCUCGUCGCCAAAUACCCUCACAGCUGCAACCAAUCCCUAAUGCUUCUGAUGAUAUCGGCCAAUCAUACAUCAUCUCUAUGAUUGGACAAAUGAACACCAUCGACUCGAAACAGAGCCACCUCGCUGAACCUGAUGAAUGAGGGCUGUCAGAGCUGCCGUGGCCACUUGAAUACAGCUAAAGCCUGCCCCCAAGCCAGCCCUAUUGGCUGGCUGACAGGCGCGGUGCGGCAGCCGGUAUAGCUGACACAGGGAGCCAAAUACGCCCCACUGUGGAUGCAGGAACCGGCUCCCGCUCACAACUCCUCCCCUCUGUUAGGAGGAGAGGCUUUCCAUGGCUUUCUCACAGUUGUCCAUGGAGGCACAGGUUAAAUCUGUAUCCAGGGCAGCUGUUUACCAGCUCCAUCUGGUACGUAGGCUGAGACCCUAUCUGCCUGCAGACUGUCUCGCCAGAGUGGUGCAUGAUCUGGUUAUCUCCCACUUGGACUACUGCAAUGCACUCUACGUGGGGCUACCUUUGAAGGUGACCCGGAAACUACAACUAAUCCAGAAUGCGGCAGCUACACUGGUGACUGGGAGCGGCCGCCGAGACCAUAUAACACCGGUCUUGAAAUACCUACAUUGGCUCCCAGUACACUUCCGAGCACAAUUCAAAGUGUUGGUGCUGACCUUUAAAGCCCUAAAUGGCCUAGGUCCAGUAUAUCUGAAGGAGCGUCUCCACCCCCAUCGUUCUGCCCGGACACUGAGGUCCAGCUCUGAGGGCCUUCUGGCGGUUCCCUCACAGCGAGAGGCCAAGUUACAGGGAACCAGGCAGAGGGCCUUCUCGGUAGUGGCGCCCGGCCUGUGGAACGCCCUCCCAUCAGAUGUAAAAGUGAUAAACAACUACCUGACAUUCAGAAGACAUCUGAAGGCAGCCCUGUUCAGGGAAGUUUUUAAUAUGUGACAUUUUAGUGUAUUUUUUAUCUUUGUUGGAAGCCGCCCAGAGUGGCUGGGGAAACCCAGCCAGAUGGGCGGGGUACAAAUAAUAAAUUAUUAUUAUUAUUAUUAUUAUUAUUAUUAUAUUGCUGGCACAUACCACCAGGUCAGGCACUGUUGCAGGAAGGCAACAACACCUCCCCUUGAUCUGGCAGUUGUGCUGGACGUGAAGAGUUUUCCCAGGCUUGGAAGAAUCUUUCUGAGCUUCGCCCAGGCCAAGGAAGUGGAUUGCAGCUUGCCUGCCUAUUUGGCAACAGGUGGAGUCCAACACAGUGAAGGAUUUAGGGGUGCACAACUGGUUCGGUGGAAGUGAGAGCUGGACCAUAAAGAAGGCUGAUCGCCGAAGAAUUGAUGCUUUUGAAUUAUGGUGCUGGAGGAGACUCUUGAGAGUCCCAUGGACUGCAAGAAGAUCCAACCUAUCCAUUCUGAAGGAAAUCAGCCCUGAGUGAUCACUGGAAGGACAGAUCAUGAAGCUGAGGCUCCAGUACUUUGGCCACCUCAUGAGAAGAGAAGACUCCCUGGAAAAGACCCUGAUGUUGGGAAAGAUGAAGGGCACAAGGAGAAGGGGAUGACGGAGGACGAGAUGGUUGGACAGUGUUCUCGAAGCUACCAGCAUGAGUUUGACCAAACAGCAUGAGGCAGUGGAAGACAGGAGUGUCUGGCGUGCUCUGGUCCAUGGGGUCACGAAGAGUCGGACACGACUAAACGACUAAACAACAAACUGGUUCGGUCACACUUGGUGCGGAGUCUCAGGGGUGCUGUCAGGGGGGAGCUGCUACUAUGAUUUAGCAUGGAGCGUGAGAGGCGGAGGGGCGCCGAACUUUGGCACCCCACAGGGCACCGCUAACAUUUGAGAAGGUCUGCCGCUGUCCAACGUCUGGAGAGGGCCACAGAUUCCCCAUUCCUGUGCUAUUGCGCCCAACUGUCUCCUCCACAGGCUCUUUAACCUGUGCAAGACAGACUGGGCGGUUGCUGAUCCCUAUUGAUCAGGUUGGGACAGAGGGCCUCCUCUUUGAGAGGCGCACGACUUUGGGGAGCGCUCUUACAACUUCUCCCGCAGCCCCACUCAAAAGCGGCUUGGGAGGGAGCUUGGAAAAGGUCGUUUUCCUUGCAAGCUCGAGAGAAGGGGCGCAUUUCCCCAGCGUAGAGCAACUACCCCUCGAAGUGCUGCAGCUUCUGCUGCACGUUCAGCUCCAGGGGGAGUCCCUCCGGCGCCAAACAACCACCCUGACGAAGCGGCCAGCUUGGCCAAGCAGGCGCGUUCCCUGGCGUGGCAUUCACCAAGCCGCCCGAGGAGGGCGCUCGCCCUGCUCGCCCGCUCGCUUCCCUGGAAGCUCCGCCGUCCUCCCUUUGGAGAAAGCCGCUUGCAAACGGACGUUUCCUUCCCCGCCUCCCCGCCUUAGAACAAAGCCUACCGGGGGGCUCCCGCUUUCGCCCUCCUCUGCCCACCGCGCCUUCAUUGCGCGCCGGUGGCUCCCAUUCCCGCUGCGCCUUAAAGAGCUGGCCGGGCAGUCGAGCUCAGGUGGGAAAUGGGGGGAUCUCCGGCUGAGAAGCCGAAAGCCUGCGCUUUGAGUCCGAGCUUUUGGGAAUGGGAGCAAGCGGGGGAGGCAGGGGGAGUCUCCGCGCCGGAUCCCAGCCUCGCCCUGCCGUCUGUCGCCUCUGGAGCGCCGCUGACAACUGGAGAGCUCUAAACGGAGCGGGAGGGAGAGACGGGUCCGGAUGGAUCAAUAUAAAAUUCAAAUACUUUUGUGCCACCUGUUGGAUUUUGCUACUAAUUGCAUGUCGUUGUGGGAGAGACCCGGGGAAAAGAGAGGCUGCCUCUGCACGUGGUUGGCCCUGAGCGUUGUUUUCGAUAUUUCUUUUUGAGUGUGCGCGCAUGCCCUUAUGAAACGCAUAUACGCCCCUUGUUCAUCCCUUGCAAGCCACGUUAAUCCAUCCAAACGGAUGGAUCACAAGUCCGGAGUGCCCAGUUCCGUGUAAUUCUUAUCCCAGGCAGUCACUUUUGACGCUUAAGGAUUAAUUUGCGCAUUAGGUGACGACAGCAAACCAUGGUUUGUACAAUUAACGGGAAUGCUGCUAUUCCUGUCUCUCUGCUAGAAAUACCCCUAAGGUAUACAUUUGCAAACUUUGGUUUGCCUCAGUUAUGCUUUCCAUUUCUAAGAACACUCUAUUAUUAUUAUUAUUAUUAUUAUUAUUAUUAUUAUUAAUUGCACGCCUAAAAUAUCCCAAAAUGUGAAACAGCCUUUGAAGAUUACAGGGUGAUGGCAGCUUACUUCAGGCUUCCCCAACCUGGUGCCCUCUAGAUGUCUUGGAAUACGGCUUCCAUCAUCUCUGACUAUUGGUCACACAGGCGGUCACCAGGCUGGGGGAUAUUGUUUCCUGGGAUAAUCAUGCUGAAGUUGUUCCACACACUCCAAAGCACUGUAGAAAUGCUAAGCGUUCUUCAUAGUGCAUGAUUGUAAUAACUUGAGGAUGCACCUGCCCACAAAGAUUCAGGCCUCAUUCUUGCCUUUUCAGAAUGCAGAUUCCGUUUUAUUGUAAUAUAGCCCCUUCCCAAAUUCAGCCAAGGGUUCAAAUUGUUUAAUGCUGCUCCACACACACACACACACACACACACAAGUUACUGCACAUAGAAAGCAAGCGUGUUGGGGGGGGAGCCUUAUAUUAGAACCCAAUUAAGCCUUCUCCACUUGUUCCUUUUCAUGCAGUUCCUAUCACAGCCCAGCCCUGGAGUCUUCCACAAUUUCAGGCUGACCUUCUGCCGUGGGACGUCUGCUGAACACAUAGAGGCUCCCUGUGCGACUUAGAACCUGCUGUAUCAGAUCAUGUGGGGAACCUACACAAGUAUAAGAGACUCUCCCUCUGCAAAGGUUUGACCCAAAUGACUUUGUAACUUAUAAAGUAGCACUCUAUGCGUUGGCAGCUAAGAAGAUCGGGAGGAAAGAACUAGAUAAAAUAGCGGUCAACUGCAAAGGAGAUUCGGAUAUUUAAUUUGGCAUAUUUUACAGUGGUACCUCGCAAGACGAAUGCCUCGCAAGAAAAAAAACUCGCUAGACGAAAGGGUUUUUUGUUUUUUGAGCUGCUUCGCAAGACGAUUUUCCCUAUGGGCUUGCUUCGCAAGACGGAAACAUCUUGCACGUUUGUUUCCUUUUUCUUAACACCGUUAAUACAGUUGCAACUUGACUUCGAGGAGCAACUCAUAGAACGCGGUGUGGUAGCCUUUUUUGAGGUUUUUAAAGACUUUGGUGAUUUUUGAAGCUUUUCCAAAACUUUCCCGACACCGUGCUUCGCAAGACGAAAAAAAUCGCAAGACGACAAAACUCGCGGAACGAAUUAAUUUCGUCUUGCGAGGCACCACUGUACUAGAGAAUCUUCUGCUAUUCUAUUUUAUGCAACAAACAAUCUUAGUAGCUGUGACUGUAGUUUAUAUUGUAUGUGUGGUGCCUGAUGAUCUUUAUGGUUAUUGCAGUUUUUCCUUUUGUUAUUUUUCUGAAUGAUGUCAUGGCCUAUGGCUAGCGCAAUAAAAGUCGAGGAGGAGGAGGAGGAGGAGGAGGAGCUUUGGCCCAAAUGCACAGAGGGCUUCAGGGAUGGGCCGUCUGGUAGAGGCCAAUGUGUGUCCAUCACCCCACACCCCCUGCUUUUCCCCACUCAUGCAAUUGGCAUUGUAAGAGGGGCACUAAGGGACAGGGCUACAGUUUUACACAUCCAGAGGUAAGUUUAUUUACCUGUGGUGAAACAUUCGACCACGUGAACCUCACCUAUUGAUUCACUGCAAUAAGCUCUAGGGUGGCCACAUUUAUCAGGAUAAACUUUCUACAAUGCACAAGUAAUCAUUUGGUAAGCAACUUGUCUGUAGCCCUAGUCAGGUGUGCUCUGCAGGCCCUGUCGGCUGCCACCCACACAUUGGAGGCAGGAGAACUGGAGCGGGGAUCCUGGUUACACAUGUGAUUUAGAACCCUAGUUUUGUGGGGCUAUUACCCUUCUUCAAGUGCCAGGUUAUCCAGAAACCUUGUGAGGUGGGACACUCAAAAUGCAUAUCUUUGCAUGUUACCUCUUAAUCAUGCAAUUACAAUACUUUACCACGUGGUGAAAUAUCGUCUGUAUGCACCCAUUGGGGCCGCUGUAGUAGUGCACAUCAGCGUUGCAUGCUAGGAUAUAUUUUUUUCCUCCCUAUGUAGCAUUUAUUGGGUCAAUAACUCAUUAUUAAAGCAGGUUUGUUUGUGCCCUGCAAUAACAAAGACCUCGGUAUUGUGGAGAGAAUGACCGCUCCCCGCAUAAAACGGGGGGCGACCUUUGUGUGGACGCGCGCAGCCCCUGGAUCUGGAGUGGCUCCAUCAGCAUAGGCUUGGCUUUGGCUUCCCUCAGGUGGGAUACCUGGAGGUCUCCGCCUACCCCAGUCAGUUGUCCAAUCCCACCUGGGGGAAGCGUUGCCAAGGAGAUCAGGCCAGGUGGGGGAGGGAUUACCUGCCCACACAAUAGAGCGAGGAUCUUACCUGGGAAUCCUCACCCCAUCCCCCACACAAAUACUGGAUAACACUGAUGCUCCCUAGGUCCCCGGCUGGGGACUGGGGAGGGAGAACGCCCAAUGCCUGAGCCAAGGUCUACCCACAUUUGAAAUUUAAUAAAGUUGUGGCCAAUUUAAUCCCAUAGCACGUUGUCUUGAGUCGUUAUUCCACAUGACGGGGGGGCCGCUCGGGACCUGGGGACUCCGCCUGUCCACGCAAAAGGUAUCGUUUAUAUUCUAGCGUUUGGUGUCAGAAACUUGGUAGAUGUUGACAUGAACCUCAGUGGCAAAUGUCAAGAAAUCCUAGCCAUGAACUUUGCCAUUGACACAUUGCCUUCUGCUUGUACAUGAUGGCGAUGUGGAUUUCAUUUGGACAGCCAUCAUGGAAGCCACUAAGUUGGCUUUAACAUUUACAGGUAAAUGACAGGCUCUUCGAACAUUUCUCACAGGGUUCGAUUAAAUAUUUAGAUGUGGUGGGAAAUGUCAACAUUCACCAACAGGCCAAUUCUUUCCAAGUGUGGGGGCAAGACCUACUCAUAGCAGGACUAACAGAGUCCUGUUUCUCCUUGGCUCAAAUGCAGGCAAUACAGUGGUACCUCCGGCUACAGAUGCUUCAGGUUACAGACUCUGCUAACCCAGAAAUAGUACCUCGGGUUAACGUACAAGUGCUACAAAGGAUGGAAGAUUUGCAUGCACCUCCUUUUUUUGCCAUGAAGAGAUCACUCUUUGUGUAAUAUAGGCCCUUAUGGGAUGUUAGGGAAGGGGGUAGUGCCUCUAGGGGGGGUGACACACCUUCUGGGGUAGUUUCUGUGCGCUCAGCUCUCACCUGUGGCUUCUGGAAGCUGUCAGCAUGCAACAGCAGCCACACUGGGAAACAGCUUCAACUGGCCGGCUAAACCAGGUGAUAUCUAUAUUAGUGGACAACAAUGCCUAGCACCCCAGACUUCUGUGUUGAGCACACUGUUUUAUGGAAGUGAGUCAUAGGCAAGUUGCACCCGCCAGGGGUGACACCUCAGUGCCUUCCACAUCAGGAAGAUUUUGGGCAUCACAUGGCAGGCAGAGUUUCAAGCAAGUAUGUGCUCUCCCAAGCCAACAUUCCAAGCAUGUUCACACUCCUGUCUCAGUGAUGUCUAUGUUGGCUUGCUCCUGUCCAUUCCACAGAGUGGAAGAUGGCAGGCUCCCCAAAGACCAGGCCCACUGGCAGGCAAACACUGUGUACAAAGAUGUCUGCAAACAUGUCAUGAAGGGUGGCAACAUCAACUUUGCUGUAUGGGAAUCCCUUGCAGACAAUUGCGGUGCCUGGAGGCAGACAGUCGGGUUGCAUAUCCAGAGCAGUGACCAGAGGAGGAAUGACCACUGGGAGGAGCACAGAGAGAAGGAACGCCAUGGUGCAUCUGUAGCAGCACAACCAGACACCUUCAUCUGCCCCAGCUGCAACAAAACCCGUCUCUCCCAUAUUGGUCUCUAGAGCCACAGUAGGUGCUCUGAAUCCAGUGGUUUGAUUUCACCCCCAAAGGCACACUCUUCCUUUGUCUCCCCAGAUGGAUGCCAACCACCUGACAAGUGGCCAUACUAGUUGGGGCUGAUGGAAGCUGUAGCCCAGCGGCUUCAGAAGUUCACCAUGGUGGAUCCUACACACAUAUAAAAAAGUUCUGAAAAUGCUUUUUUUUAAAGCAUUUUAAAAAAUACAUUGAAUUUUCCAUAAGGCUCAUCAUCGCCAUCUAGCGUCACAUUGUAUAUUGCACUUAAAACACACUUAAAACGUUUUAUUUGCAGCAAUAUAGCUAAGUCCCAUGUUGGCUCCUUCUGCUUUAAAGCUUCCCUCCUUUUCUCUCUAGGCUCAACUGCCUUCUAUAAGCUCACAAGUUCCUGUCGGCAUUUUUUUAUUUUUUCAGUGCAGAGGCUAAACGUCAUUUUCUUUUAAUUCCCAUAUUUAGAUUUUAAUUUUAUUUUUGCAUGCUUGUGCAUAUCCUGAGUAUACAGAAGUUUCUGCCGUAAUUUUUUGGUGGCCCCAUUUUGUUUCCAAACUCAUGUGUACUCAGCCCAUUAAGGAGAGAAUGAUGUAGUCUUGCAUGGCACCCAAACCUGCAUUAUUGCACCAUAGGGCUAAUAAUGUGAAAGUGUCCCAGAUGUUUUGGGACUACAACUCCCAUCAUCCCUAGCUAACAGGGCCAGUGGUCAGGGAUGAUGGGAAUUGUAGUCUCAAAACAUCUGGAGGGCCGAGUUUGCCUAUGCCUGCUUUAAAAUCUGUUUUAAAGUGGGGUGCAUUAAUUGAAUAAUUGCAUGUAAACGAUUAUUUUAACAAAGGGAAGGUAAAAAGGUAAAGGUAAAGGUACCCCUGCCCGUACGGGCCAGUCUUGACAGACUCUAGGGUUGUGCGCUCAUCUCACUCUAGAGGCCGGGAGCCAGCGCUGUCCGCAGACACUUCCGGGUCACGUGGCCAGCGUGACAAGCUGCAUCUGGUGAGACAGUGCAGCACACGGAACACCGUUUACCUUCCCGCUGGUAAACGGUCCCUAUUUAUCUACUUGCACCCGGGGGUGCUUUCGAACUGCUAGAUUGGCAGGCGCUGGGACCGAACGACGGGAGCGCACCCCGCCACGGGGAUUGGAACCACCAACCAUGCGACCGGCAAGUCCUAGGUGCUGAGGUUUUACCCACAGCGCCACCCGCGUCCCUAAAAGGAAGGUAGGAUACUAUUUAUAGGGAGCAAGGGGCAGUAGGUCCUUAUUGGUAUAAUUAGCCACUCAUCUUUCAGAGGUACGUUUUCAAAGCACGUCUGCACAUGAACAGAGUUAAGACAUGCUUUGUCGCGUUGUACCCUGCAUGAAAUUGCUAUUUCAUAAACACAGCAGACUGGCCAUUAUUCCCAAUUGUGAGACUAUGUUACAGCCUAAUAAUGCAGGCGUGCCCAGAAAAUAUUGAUAACCUGCAAGGUCUUAUGCAUAUGGCUUUCAAACUGCAUCCAAGAAAACCCAGGGUUUCUCAGAAGUUUCUCAAGGGCCCCAUGAUGAGAUGUGGACAGAUUCCUUGGAAGAUCUCUGUUCUAACCUGCUGUUGUAAGAGCUAGUUGCUGAACUGCUGUUGUUGUUUAGUCGUUUAGUCGUGUCCGACUCUUCGUGACCCCCUGGACCAGAGCAUGCCAGGCACUCCUGUCUUCCACUGCCUCCCGCAGUUUGGUCAAACUCAUGCUGGUAGCUUCAAGAACACUGUCCAGCCAUCUCGUCCUCUGUUGUCCCCUUCUCCUUGUGCCCUCCAUCUUUCCCAACAUCAGGGUCUUUUCCAGGAGUCUUCUCUUCUCAUGAGGUGGCCAAAGUAUUGGAGCCUCAGCUUCAGGAUCUGUCCUUCCAGUGAGCACUCAGGGCUGAUUUCCUUCAGAAUGGAUAGGUUUGAUUUUCUUGCAGUCCAUGGGAUUCUCAAGAGUCUCCUCCAGCACCAAAAUUCAAAAGCAUCAGCUCUUCGGCGAUCAGCCUUCUUUAUGGUCCAGCUCUCACUUCCGUACAUCACUACUGGGAAAACCAUAGUUUUAACUAUACGGACCUUUGUUGGCAAGGUGAUGUCUCUGCUUUUUAAGAUGCUGUCUAGGUUUGUCAUUGCUUUUCUCCCAAGAAGCAGGCGUCUUUUAAUUUGCUGUCACCAUCUGCAGUGAUCAUGGAGCCCAAGAAAGUAAAAUCUCUCACUGCCUCCAUUUCUUCCCCUUCUAUUUGCCAGGAGGUGAUGGGCCCAGUGGACAUGAUUCCUGGCCACUGGCCAUGCUCUCCGGGGUUGGUGGGCGUUCACCAGAAUACUUUGCAGCAGGCAGGAUUCCAUAGCUGAUGAGUCAGUUUGGAACCGGUUUCCCCAAGGAAGGAAGUCUUAAAAACCACUGUUCUGACACUUGUAUAACAAGGGCUCAAUUCUAUUAUGAAAAUGCAUGCAUGCAUCAACAGUAAAAUCUGGCAGGCCACAUCAAGCGGUGGAGGAGGGAGUCUCUUUUCUGACAAAUAAUAAAACGUAAUCUUUGAUGUAUAAAAUUUGGAGCUUUGCCAAUGUGCCAAUCAAUAAUCUGUGUAUGAUAAAUCAGCAAUCAAAUAUUUUUGAGUCAUAGGAAGGUGGGAGGGAGGGAUCUAGCUGCUGCCAGCCUGUCAAUCAAUCAAUCAAUCAAUCACAGAGUGCCUGAAGAACCACAGAUUAUUUCUUUCUUCCUCUCUCUCUCUCUCUCUCUCUCUCUCUCUCUGUGUGUGUGUGUGUGUUCUGGACUCUGCCAGUCUGCAGGUCCAAUCAAUCACUGUGUGCCUGAUGAAUCAUGAAACGCACUCAGUGACAUGUCAGUGCACAUACUCACUUGGUACAGCUCUCAUCACCCUGAGUUUGUCUUGCAGUUAAAUUGACUGAAGGCGAGUUGCAGAAAAUGUUCUUUCUCCCAGCUACUGACCUCCUCCUCCUCCUCCUCCAUCACCAGCCAGUCUCAAAUUCCCUUAGUCUGUCUUUUGGUUUUAAGCGGAAUAUUUCUAGACAAGGGUUCAACAAGGCAGUGAACAGACGUUUCUGAUGUCAAAUUGGCUGUUAAACUAUCAACAAAGAUGUUAGACAAAUUCAACAAGAGAAUGGAUUCCUGCAAGGUACAUUCUCCCCCCUCCCCAAAACUCAUCCAUUUUACUUAACACAGCUGCGCAAUCAAUGGUGUGACACUAGGAUCACAAGGGUCCUGUUUCAAUAUCCUUAGAAUUUGCCUCACUUCCUAUCAUGAUACAUUACAGAUGGGAUGGGAUGGUGGCUGCUGCUGUUCUUUUGUUUCAUUUUCAACGUAUUUGUGACUGUUUGCUACACAAUGGAUCUGCAAAAAACAUGGACAUUCGUUACAGCAAAACAAAAACAGGAAAACCCAACCUCUGGGGUCAGCUUCAAGUUUAACAACGUACUUAAGGCAACUUUUCCUAAGAGGGCCCCAUAACCAUCUGGGUGUAGUAGAGGUAUAGGCAGUUGAAUUUUCACAGGAGGGUGUCAGCACCCAAAUCAGAUGGGGCUUGGAAAAGUCAGAGACGUUGUGUGUGAGGGUUUGACAAGUGAGCCAUAUAACUAGUCUGUCUUAGAGUUGCCGCAAAUGGAAUCCCUGAUCUGGAGUUUGUGCAGGGUAGAGGUGAAUUUGUUCUCCACCACAAGAAUGAGUUUCAAAGCUUUACUGGAAACAAUCUUAAAAUAGUUACAAAAUAAAUGUUGGCCAAAAAUACAAAGUAACACAUUGCUCUUAAACAAACUAUCAGUGUAGACUAGUCUUCUUUUUUGUCCUUAAUAUACAGUGGUACCUCGGGUUACAGACGCUUCAGAUUACAGACUCCGCUAACCCAGAAAUAGUACCUCGGGUUAAGAACUUUGGUUCAGGAUGAGAACAGAAAUCGUGCUCCGGCAGCACGGCAGCAGCAGGAGGCCCCAUUAGCUAAAGUGGUACCUCAGGUUAAGAACAGUUUCAGGUUAAGAACAGAUCUCCGGAACGAAUUAAGUUCUUAACCAGAGGUACCACUGUAGUUCAAUAAACUAUGAGAAGUGGGUCGCUGCUGUAGCUAUACCAUAUAAUGGCCACCUACUAAAAUAACAUUUUAGAAAGAUGGGAGGUGUAUAUUAACUAUUAGAACGAACUGAUUGGUAAACAAGCCUCUAGCAAACAGCUUUGCUUUUUUACAAUCAAGUGGUAUAAAAAUAUAUGAAAGAAAUAAAAUAAACUAGUGACCCUCUUGAUGGGUAGUCAAUGUGGUUCCCCUCAGAUGUUGUUGGACUACAACUCCCAUCAGCCUUGACUAUCGACCACACCUGUUGGGAUGGAUGGAAGUUAUGCUCCAACAUCUGAAGGGUACCAUAUUGGCUACCUUUGUAUCAAUAUCUGAUAUUCUAGUCUUGUGCACUGUGAUUUGUUUUUGUUCUCAUCCCUCUCAGAUUUAUGUAAUGGGUAAAAAUUCAUGGUUGUAUUUGCUUACAUAUAGCUUAACAACAGUAGCUAAGUUUGAUAAUAUACAAAUAAAAUAGAAUUUAAUAAGAAGGUGAUGGUUUUGUAUAAAAUGAGUCACUCUGGCAAGCUACAGAGCUGACUUGAGAGAAAACCUGGAAGAAGCCAGGUUUGGGAACUGGUUGGCUAAACUAUGAGCAGGAAAGGUGACAAUGAGUUUUGCCGAGUUAAACUUGCCCCUUAUGAAUAACAUAUUCUUACAAAUUACCGAGCAAAAAAGUUUUUUUUAUAAAAAAAACAUUUUUCUGCUGAGAGUCUCUUUAUACAGCAAAUCAUUCAUAGUCAAACACUGUGUGAACUAAUAGUGCAAUUGAAAUGUCUUUCAAAAUUAUGAUGUUCGAUAAUAUAUUAAAGACAUGUUAAACAAAUAUUGCAUAAAGGUUCCCUCUUUCAAUCAAGCUCGUACUCAGUUCAGCGGAAUCCCUAAGGAAAUAUGGGAAGUGAUUCUUUAAAAGAAAAAGAAAAAUGUCCUUGGUUUUUUGGCUUUCAGCACCUCAAACGCUUCACCUGGAGCCUCUUCUGAAACUCAUCGCGUGUGCAGAAAAUGUUGGCAGGAGAAAAGAAGCAUUCUUCUCUAAUGGGAAGCAACAACAAAACAGUUCUUUGAACGCUUUCCAGAAAUAUAGGCAGAAAACCUUCCAGGUAGAGUUGCAACAACACAGUCCAUCCUCAUAACAACUGCUUAAUUGAACGGCUUGGGAGCAAGCAGGGCUGAAGCUGAGCAGAUGUAGACCUGAUCAGGGCCCAGAUAUCAGGGCCACCAUGUGGACCACACUAGGAGAUGACAAGGGCACAAGCAUAAUAAAACAAAUUCAUGUUUAGUCUGUUUGAUCCAUCCAGACCAAAGAGCCAUGUGCUGCAGUAGCCAGCUGCACACAUGGCAGCUUCUCAGUUCUUGCAAUUUCGGGAAAGCAACAAUAACAGGACACUUAUCGCAGGGAGCUGCCUCAUAUCAGGUCAGAGACUCUUUGCCCACCUAGCUCAGUACUCUUGACUCUGACCAACAGUAGCUCUCCAGAGUCUCAGGAGAAAUUUUCCAUACCACUCCAUUACCAGGUCAUUUUUAACCAGAGUCACGAAAUUAAAAGAUGCCUGCUUCUUGGGAGAAAAGCAAUGACAAACCUAGACAGCAUCUUAAAAAGUAGAGACAUCACCUUGCCAACAAAGGUCCGUAUAGUAAAAGCUAUGGUUUUCCCAGCAGUGAUGUAUGGAAGUGAGAGCUGGACCAUAAAGAAGGCUGAUCGCCGAAGAAUUGAUGCUUUUGAGGAGACUCUUGAGAAUCCCAUGGACUGCAAGAAGAUCAAACCUCUCCAUUCUGAAGGAAAUCAGCCCUGAGUGCUCACUGGAAGGACAGAUCCUGAAGCUGAGGCUCCAAUACUUUGGCCACCUCAUGAGAAGAGAAGACUCCCUGGAAAAGACCCUGAUGUUGGGAAAGAUGGAGGGCACAAGGAGAAGUGGAUGACAGAGGAUGAGAUGGUUGGAUAGUGUUCUCGAAGCUACCAGCAUGAGUUUGACCAAACUGCGGGAGGCAGUGGAAGAGAGGAGUGCCUGGCGUGCUCUGGUCCAUGGGGUCACGAAGAGUCAGACACGACUAAAUGACUAAACAACAACAGAACCUGGUGUCCUCUAUAUGUAAAGGACAUACUCUGCCACUGAGCUAUGAACCCUCAAAGGUUCUUCACUGGCAUUCAUCUGUCUCGAGAAGCAAUGGAGUGCACCUCCAGGGGCAAAGUCAAACCCCUUCAGCAAUUAAUUGAGGCGCAAGACUGGGCAAUGUGUAUGGAGGUCCUGGGCUGCCCAGACGACAAGACCUCCCUCUCAGCCUCGCUGAUGUGGUCCAAAGGAAAGCAGAGCAAGAGGUUUAGCACCAGCUUGGCUGCAGGAGUUGCUGGAUGGAGGCAUACAAGGCCCUAUCCAGCCACCUUAGGGACUCCAUUCUGGAUUUGUGUAGAGUUUACUCUUUAGCCCUUUCUUCUCCCAGAGAUGUCCCACAAGGCAGUUGAGGUUUAGGAUCAGAGUUUGAAAUUUGGGGAUUUGCGUCCACAAGAAGUGCUUUCAUACAGUCUUCCUUAGAUGAAAUGGAGGACGGGAUCAAGAGGAGGAGCUUAGGUCUUAUUGGGUCAUAAAUAGGGCAGUGGAAAAGAAAUGUAUGAAGUCCUCUACUUCAUUCAUUGUGCAUGGACAUAGACGCUGAGUAAUAGGGGUCUUAGAGUAGAUCCCCUGCAGGAAGGCCGUGGGUAUAGAAUGAAAGCGGGCCAUUGUAAACGCUCUUCUCAAAUUGGGCUCCGUCAGGUCUAUCAAGUAGUUGGCAAGUGAUCUUACCACUUUCACUUUGGGGAGCCACAUGGAGAGGCGAGCUGAGGUGGACUGUGCCCGGUCCAUGGCCUCAUCUCUUGUAAGAAUCCAGGCCUGGAUUUUAUGUUGGUCCCAAGAUGACAACGUGUCGAAAUCUGGGAGGGAGUAGCGUACAGUAAUAGUCUCCAUGGCCUUGGACCAUUUGUUGGAGUGAGAACAAGUUAAAAAGGCUUGCCUGGCUAGUAGGGAACCUGGGGCAUUGAUUAAUUUGCAAUAAAAACUAAUAAUUCUAAUGUGGGCUCUCGCAACAAUGGAGGGGAGGCCCAGUUCUGUUCUUAACUGUGCAGCAACCGAGCCCUUAGGGAGACCCAGUAUCUUUCGUGCAAAAAGAGUUUUGUAGAAUCUCCAGCCGUUGUAGUGUUUUUAAAUUCCACCCCAGAUUUCAACCCCAUACAGUAACAUCGGGAGGACUUUGCUGAUAAAUGCUUUUCUGAUUGGUGGAACCAACUGGCCGCCUUUUGCAUAGAAGAAUUUCUCCAAGGCUUUGAUGGUUCUACGGGCAGCCAGGAUGGUCAUAUUUAGGUGAGCUGACCAGCUAAGCCCAUGCUGAAAAGUGAUUCCCAAAUACUUGAAUGCUGAGCAAUAUUCAAUAGAGUGGCCCUCAAAAUUCCAGAAUGACUUCCGAGUUUUCGUGCCAAAAGUAAGAAUUUUGGUUUUGGCGAAAUUGAUUUUGAGGGAAUUGGUAUCACAAUAUGUCAUGAGCCCUCUGAGCAUGUUGUUUAAGCCCUGCUUGGUUAAAGACAGUAUCACCAUGUCGUCCGCAUGAGAGUAAUAUGGGGAUCUUAAGCUGUUGUAAAGAGGGGCAGAUUGAUUUAGGGCCUGCAUAGUUGUAACGAUGUCGUUGAUAUAGAAAUUAAAUAGAAAAGGGGCCAAGAGGCAGCCCUGUUUGACCCCUUUAUUCAGAGAGAAAGAAUCAGAAAGAGCUCCCAGAGGGUCAGAUUUUACUCUGGCCGAUAUGUCAUUAUGAAUUUCCAUGAGAAGGAGGAGGAGUCUCUUAUCUAUGUUGGUGGAACUAAGCUUCUGCCAUAGCCUAUCUCUGGGAAUGGAGUCAAAAGCGGAGGUCAGGUCCACAAAAGCCGCGUGUAGUUUACAGUUGAACCUGUUUAGGUAUUUAUCAAUCAGGGUAAAUAGAACAAGACAUUGGCCAGAUGUGCUGUGACCUUUACGGAAGCCAGUUCCUUCUCCUAGAUUGGCUCCCUUCCCAGGCUGACAAGCCUCAUCUGCCCCUCACUUCCCUCUACAGCACCUGCAGAAACCACCUUCUUGACCUCUGGACUCACUAUUGCUCUCAUCUGCUCUAUCCACCAGAGCCUAUCUUCACAUGCAGAGGAAGACCAUUACUCACUGAGGGUUUGAGACCCAUCAGCUACCCUCACCUGGUUAAUUGGCCAGUCAAAGUCAAUUCUCAGGGUGUGCCCACUGUUGCAUGCUGACAGCUUCUAGGAGCUACAGGUGAGAGCUGAGUGCAGGAUGGGGACCAAAGAUGGACAAAAUACCACAGGGUGUAUGAGGUGUUAAGGGAGGGGCAGCACCUCUGUUGGGGGCAUGUCAUACUCAAAGGUCCUAGUGGGCCUCUAUUCAUGACCGGUGAGCUGCAAACAGCUUGAUGGGCCUCCAAGUUGUAGUGGCUUAAGUUUGGAACAUUUCUUUCUAUCCUGAGGCAACAAGGAACAUUGAAACCCAGAGAAUCAUAGAGUUUGAAGGGACCCAAGCGUCAUCUAGUCCACCCCUGCAAUGCAGGAAUCUUAGCUAAAGCAUCUAUGACAGAUGGUCAUCUAAACCUCUGCUAAAAAACCUCCAAGGAAGGAGAGUUCACAACCUCCCAUUGGAGACUGUUCCACUGUCGAACAGCUCUUGCUGUCAGAAAGUUUUUCCGUAUGUUUAGUUGGAAUCUCUUUCUUGUAACUUGAAGCCAUUGGUUCAAGUCUUACCCUCCAGAGCAGGAGAAAACAAGCUUGGGACCCCCUUUAAUAAUAAUCAGUGGAUUCAUUCACAAACUACCUGGGUAAUAUUGUCUUUGUGCUCCACUGCCAGUCACUUGGUCAAUGAUCUCUGAGAAGAGGUGAACAGGGUCAGUUGUACCUUAUUGAUCUUCUUGGAACUAUUGGCACAGCUGAUCAUAAAGCACUGUGACAUGACUGUGGGAACUUGCUCUGGGCCCAUCCUUGAACAGGGAUGCAACAAAUACCCAUUAUUUUCAUUAUCAGUAAUGAAAAAUGCAUAUUUGCUGCUAUCACUAUAAACAUUAUUAGUAUCACUAUUGGUAUUAUUAGUGAUAUUAGUAUUGUUUUGAUUUCUUACCUGCCCUUCAUCAUAAGGUCCCAGGGUAGGAGACAGUAAUUAAAAAAUGCAAUAGGGGUCCUAAGCAUAUAUACACCUGAGAAUAAGUGUAUGAGAUAUAGGAACAUGUUUCUGAAAGGUGAUUGCAGUGGGUUUGUUUGUUUUUUUCAAAUAUUUAAUAAGUCGCCAAAGGUUGAGCAAAAUGUCAUUUAACAAAAGCAAACCAGUCCAUGCUUUAAAUGCAGAAGAAAGACCAUACUGUACAAUAGCAGACUUUUUCCCCUUACCUAAAGGUAAAGGUAAAGAGGCCCCUGACCAUUAGGUCCAGUCGUGACUGACUCUGGGGUUGCGGCACUCAUCUCGCUUUAUUGGCCGAGGGAGCCGGCGUACAGCUUCAUGUGGCCAGCAUGACUAAGCCGCUUCUGGAGAACCUGAGCAGCGCACGGAAACGCCAUUUCCCUUACCUAUUUGCUUCCAAAGUAUGAACGAGACACAGUUUAAGUGUAUGUGCCUUUAGGUGGAGAAUUAUGACAGUAAUGUUAGUGUCUCUCUAAUACGGUGGUUCUCCAAGGGUGUGACGCAAGAACAAGCAAAGAAACACUUAGACGUUUCAGUAUAGAGUAGAGUAUAAAAACAGUUUGGUUUUGGAUACGCAACCAGAAAAGGUAUCCACGCUUCCCUUCAAGGACAUUGCCUAUUCUUCUACCAUUCUCCAUGACAUAUUGUUGUGAACAGGGAUUUUCAACCCUGAGAAAUGAAAGAUCAGAAAAGAGAAAGGCUUCUUUGUGCCGAUGAGGAGAUGAGAGCUUGUUUGUCUCAAAUUAGACCUAAUAUAAAUCAGAUUACCCAGCAAGCUGGCACCUCUCAUUGAAUUUGUAUAUAUGCUUAAGGUAUAUAUGCUUAUGUAAGAGGUUCUUUUAUCAUUCUAUUCUGGGAAGAAUACAUGUCCUUAUGUAACUGCAUUGUUUUAUACCAGGGGUGGUCAACUCCCAAGAGACUGUGAUCUACUCACAGAGUUAAAAACUGGCAGUGAUCAAUCCCCUUUUGGGGGGUUCAAGUCAAAGUUCUUGAGCUUUUCUUAAGGGAGCCAAAGUUGUUGAGCUUCUUUGGGGGGGACCACAGUGAUCUACCACAGAUGUCCAGUGAUCUACUGGUAGAUCACAAUCUACCUCUUGGACAUGCCUGUUUUAUACUUUCUGGAUAUGCCAUGAUCAUAUUAUAAAGUAGUUGUGUUCUAUGUUAUUAAUCAAGCACUGUACAGUGGUACCUCAGGUUAAGUACUUAAUUCGUUCUGGAGGUCCGUACUUAACCUGAAAAUGUUCUUAACCUGAAGCACCACUUUAGCUAAUGGGGCCUCCUGCUGCUGCCGCGCUGCCGGAGCACAGUUUCUGUUCUCAUCCUGAAGCAAAGUUCUUAACCUGAAGCAAUAUUUCUGGGUUAGCGGAGUCUUUAACCUGAAGCGUAUGGUACCCGAGGUACCACUGUAUGUGUUUUCUUAUCAAUAAAAAAAAUCAGCGUGGCAUGAGCAAAUUCUGAAAGUGUGGCCCAAAGGAAAACAUUUGAGAACCGCUGCUCCAAUAGCAAACUCUGGUGGCAAGUGCCAACAGUCAUGCCUUGGGAGCAGCCAGUGCCUCAAUGAAAGGAGGGAAGUAUCAUAAUACUUGGGAACACCAAGGUCUGCAAAAGUACACACACCAAAUAUUAAGAAUCCUAAGGGAGAGGAGGGUGAAGGGGCCAAGGCGGCCUGAGGAAAGCCGCAUACCAUGACAAUGUUUUGUUAUGGGUCCCACUUUGGAGGGUGAAGCAGAGAGAUGCCGAAGGACACAUCCUGCCACACCACUGUAAGUGCAAAUGAGUCUGAGAAUCUGAUACUGAGUGCAGAACUGAGCAUCCAAAGAAUCUCAGCUUUCUUUCCUUCUUUUUUUUCCCCCUUUUAAAGGGCAAGUUCCUAGGACUUGUAUCCGAGAAAAUAGGCUGGAAAGCACAUGGGCCUUAUCUAGUGAAAUUUCCAGUGCCCAGCGUAAUUCAUUUCACACACACACACCCUAUGAUUAACAGAAGCUGAAUAACCUAUGCAAAUGAACAGAAUAUAUGCAAAAUUUGCGUGAGCUGCGUAAUUAACUGAGGAAGUGGAAUUAUUUUUUAGUAGUUUUUUUUUUUUUAAGCAGAGAGAGUUACGUGCAGGCCUGGCAAAUAAAGCUCUUUGCACAUGCUUAGAAGCACUUUUCUCUUGACAAAUCGCAGGACUGAUCGUCACUAGCAAACCCUAGUUAAUUAAGACCUACUUCUAACCCCACCUCAAGACAAGCCUGAACCCCUGUUCUGUUUGGGGGAUGCAGAUCAGAAGAAACAAACACUUUCUGAACUUGAUGAAGAAUGCAUUCGUGGAAGAUAUUUAAGAUUGGCUUCUGGCCAGUUGGAAUGAAUUUAAAAUGUGGCAGGAACUGUUUUAUAUUUCUGCAUAAGCAAAAUAAUUGACAUGAGAUAAUUCCACCCCACCCUGCCCCCUCCGAAGUGAGAUGCUAUACCUUAGGGGGCAAGAGGUAUGUUCAGCCAAGAGCACAAUCCCUUGUUUCCCUAUUUCCGUCUGUAGAAUCAGAUUGCUUAGAAGUGUAAUUUAUCAAUUUUGCAAUUUGUCAUGGCCAAAACAAAACAAAAAGACUAAAUAAAAAUGCAGCACGCAACACACACAUACACAUGUCCUUCUGCAGUAAAUGAACAGGAAACGCAGACAGUUUUUAAAAGGCAAGUGUUCUUACAUGCUCCUGGUUUAGCACGUGGUGCUGCAAAAGCUUUUGGUCGAGGACUUUUACAGCAACAGCCACUGGACAGAUGAGCUAAUUGGGACUGUCAAGAAAAUCUGUUGCCACUCUUUGAACUGAGUAGCUGUGCAUCAAGGCACUGAAAUCUGUGCAUCUUCUAAAGCAGCCCCCCUUGACCCAUAAAAUUGCCAGUUCAAAUAUUACGCUUUCAAUAAGCAAUUGGGGGGGUGAUUAAUCACCCAGUCAUCUUCUCAAGCACUUUCAUGUUGUGUUUCAAAACUGUGCCAUGCCAAACUGGACCAUGAAUCUGUGGUUACCUUUUAUAUAUAUAUAUAUUGAGGUGGGUAGGUAGCUCCUUACCACUGAGAUCACUUUUUGCUUUCAUGAAGAACAAGGGGCUGCUGUCGAUGACAGGUUGCAAUACAGCCAUAUCCCUCCUCCAAGGGGUAAAGAAACAUCCCUAUUGCUAUUAAGAUGUACACUCGUGAUUGGGAGCCCAGGCGGUUCAAUCGAUAUGUCCUUAAGAUCCCUCAUAACAGCACAUAAAAUUGUCAGGCUUCACGGAAGCAGCUCCCUCCCUCCCUUUGGCUGUGGAUAAGCAGAACAAAGCAAAAAAUAGUCUCUUAUCAUUUAAAGAGAUUUUAAUGAUCACAGCGAAAGUCCCUUGGCGGUAAAGGUGCUCCCAGUUAAGGUUUACACCCACUUCCCCCUGAGUCAUCCUUAUCACUUCCAUGUCUUGCAACCUGAUCUAACAACCACUGUGCCUUCUGUGCAGCUACCUUAUCUAAUCUCCUUGACCUUGGACUGAGCAGCUGGAAACUUUCCAGCAAACCGGAGUCUGUUAACUCUCUCUCUCCCAGUUCUUCUUCUCCUAACUGUUCACCACCCAGUUCUUCCCAACUUCGGUCUUCUGAACUAUGUCCCUCUGCGAACCACUGUUCCAAAUCUAUACUGUCCCACUGCUCCUGGGAAGAUUCAGGAUCCUCAUCAGGAGCGGGGAAGGGGAAGGCUCCCACCAUUCCUCAUCUGUGCAGCCCUCCUUAGGUAAAGGUAAAGGGACACCUGACCAUUAGGUCCAGUUGUGACCAACUCUGGGGUUGCGGCGCUCAUCUCGCUUUAUGGGCCAAGGGAGCCAGCGUACAGCUUCCGGGUCAUGUGGCCAGCAUGACUAAGCCGCUUCUGGUGAACCAGAGCAGCGCACGGAAACACCGUUUACCUUCCCGCCGGAGCGGUACCUAUUUAUCUACUUGCACUUUGACGUGCUUUUGAACUGCUAGGUUGGCAGGAGCAGGGACUGAGCAACCGGAGCUCACCCCGUCCUGGGGAUUCGAACCACCGACCUUCUGAUAGGCAAGUCCUAGGCUCUGUGGUUUAACCCACAGCGCCACCCGCGUCCUUAGCAUAGUCCCUGACAAAAAUGGACAGAGGCCUUGGUAUGCAGGUGAACUUUGUAGGCCCCCACUGCAGAGCCAAAGGGCAGCACCUUCUGGCCUCCACCCCUGGCCAGGUGACCAAGGACCACUGGGAGGUUACCCACCCCCACCCCUGACUUCCAGGAAGAACGUGAUGGCAAAGAGCAGGUGGGGACUACUGGUCACCAUCCAUCAACCAAAGAAGGAGCAGAUUCUGGGAAUAUGACUCCAAGAGCCAGCCGCCCCGCAACAGAAUAAAUGGGGAAAGAAGAUUCUCAUACCCUCUGAUGUUUCUCCGAUGAAAAUCAGAGUGUCCUAUUCCAAAGUAAUAAUAAUGAAGACAAUUUUAUUAUUUAUACAUCACCCAUCUGACUGGGUUGACCCAGCCACUCUGGGCAGCUUCCAACAUAUAUCAAAACAUACUAAAACAUUAAACAUUUUUUUAAUAAAAUCUCUACAGGGCUGAUUUCAGGUGUUUGUUAGAGUUUGUUGUUUUUGUUGUUAUUGGGGAUCACUUUCCUUGUGAUGUGAGGACGUAUGAUGUUUUUGUAAUACAGUGGUACCUCGGGUUACAGAUGCUUCAGGUUACAGACGCUUCAGGUUACAGACUCUGCUAACUCAGAAAUAGUACCUCGGGUUAAGAACUUUGCUUCAGGAUGAGAACAGAAAUCACACGGCGGCAGCGGGAGGCCCCAUUAGCUAAAGUGGCACCUCAGGUUAAGAACAGUUUCAGGUUAAGAACAGACCUCCAGAACAAAUUAAGUUCUUAACCCGAGGUACCACUAUGUCCCUUUGUGGCCAGAUUUGAGGCAGUAGAUCAAGUAGAAGCCCAGGGGUGGAUCUAGGGUAGUGUGACCAAUUCAGUCACACUGGGUGCAAAGUUUCUUGGACUUCCCAGCAAAUGCCACAACUAGGACAUACAAUGGAAGGCAAGAGACAGGAUUUUGGCACUUCACAGGGUGCCACUGAAAUUUGAGAUGCCAAGGUCUGCCACUGGUGAUAGCUCUAAACCCCAAACAGCACCAAUCACACACCCCUAAGGACCUGUGCACCCUCUGUAUGUAUUUGAUUAUAUAAAUGCAAAAUUAUACUCCAUAUAUUCCCAAAGUUUUCACAAAACCUAGAAACAGAACCAAGAGAAAUGAUUAAAGUAGCAUGGAAAACUUGCCUACUUAGUUUUCCUCCUUUCUAGCCCACUAUAAGAGAUCGUUCUAGAUAAAUGAAAAACAAUAUUGUAUAUUUGGGUAGGCUGAUCUGCUUCUGCGAUAAUCAAUGAAGCAUUCCCGGUUUUAAUUAAAUUUGUCGCUUCUCUGCUUACUUUCUCAUUCUGAUGUAUGCUAGUUUUGCCAUAAGAGCUUAUUCCCAUAAUUUGCCCACCAUCAAUACGGAAAGAAUUGUACGCAGCCUCCAACUCAUUGCAUAAAAUAUUCUGGCUGCUGUGGUCAUAUAUGCGCCUAGCGCUUGAUGCGUUUCCUUAACAAAGGCAACCUCCUCAGGCCACACACACAUGCUCCCAAGCCAUGCCCACUGCCAGCCCUGCUUGGCAGCCUCCUCGAAUAUUUUUGCCUGGUCGGAAGGUGUACUUGAACUGUCAUCAUGCUUCUUGGGUAACAGGGCAGGAUGGAAUAUAUAAAUUUAAAAAUAAAAAAAAUUGUCCAGUAGCACCUUAGAGACCAACUAAGUUUGUUCUUGGUAUAAGCUUUUGUGUGCAUGCACACUUCUUCAGAAAGCACACGAAAGCUUAUACCAAGAACAAACUUAGUUGGUCUCUAAGGUGCUACUGCCCCUCACCCCAGAAGGUUGUCUGGAAAGGAAUGCGGUCCUUGGCCUCUUUGUUGUUUAGUCAUUUAGUCGUGCCCUACUCUUCGUAACCCCAUGGACCAAAGCACGCCAGGCACUCCUGUCUUCCACUGCCUCCUGCAGUUUGGUCAAACUCAUGCUGGUAGCUUCGAGAACACUGUCCAACCAUCUUGUCCUCCAUCAUCCCCUUCUCCCUGUGCCCUCAAACUUUCCAAACAUCAGGGUCUUUUCCAGGCAGUCUUCUCUUCAAAUGAGGUGGCCAAAGUAUUGGAGCCUCAGUUUCAGGGUCUGUCCUUCCAGUGAGCACUCUGGGUUGAUUUCCUUCAGAAUGGAUAGGUUUGAUCUUCUUGCAGUCCAUGGGACUCUCAAGAGUCUCCUCCAGCACCAUAAUUCAAAAGCAUCAAUUCUUCGGCGAUCAGCCUUCUUUAUGGUCCAGCUCUCACUUCCAUACAUCACUACUGGGAAAACCAUAGCUUUAAUUAUACGGACCUUUGUUGGCAAGGUGAUGUCUCUGCUUUUUAAGAUGCUGUCUAGGUUUGUCAUUGCUUUUCUCCCAAGAAGCAGGCGUCUUUUAAUUUCAUGACUGCUGUCACCAUCUGCAGUGAUCAUGGAGCCCAAGAAAGUAAAAUCUCUCGCUGCCUCCAUUUCUUCCCCUUCUAUUUGCCAGGAGGUGAUGGGACCAGUGGCCAUGAUCUUCAUUUUUUUGAUGUUGAGCUUCAGACCAUAUUUUGCACUCUCCUCUUUCACCCUCAUUAAAAGGUUCAUUCUCUCUCUCUCUCUCUCACACACACACACACACACACAGGCAGACUACAAAAAUGGGGUUUGGAUACCCAGUUGUUAAGUUGUAGAAUGAGCCAAUCACAAAACUCAGCAUCUCAAGUUCCUCUGUUUUACAGGAUGUAGUGCUGUGCUUAAGGCUGCAAUCCUAAAAACACACUAAGGAAGGAUCUCCUUCAAACACAGUGGGACUUUCUGCGGGUCAACCUGGACAGAGUUUCAGUACUGUAUGUGCUGUGAGCUGGGAAGUUCUCUGCUGAAAUCUGAGCUCAGCUACAAAUCUCGCCAGGUGGUCUAAGCACCUUCAUUUUCUCCUUCCCUGCCACACCUAUAGUACUGUAGUGUUUUACAGGGUUGUUGUAAGUGCGGAUUGAUUUUUGAGGGUGCAUUGUCUCAGCAAUCCUUAACAUUAAAAGUUAAGCACUGUUGUUUACUUUUCUACCAGCGGAAGUAACAAAGGGCCUCUCUGCUAGGGCAAUGUGUUGAAAUUAAUACUUCUUACUGGUGUUAAAGUUGAUAAUCCUAAAUCAGGAGUGCUGACAGGUUUGGUCUCAAGCUCAUUGCACUCAUGGCUUGCUGCCAAGAGGCUGGCAGCCUUCCUGGCAAUUGCUGCAGAGGGAAUGCCGGAAAGGCGAGUGUGGCUUGCUAAGCCAGCCAUCCUCCCAAAUGAGCACUCCUGUGAAUUUGGCAAUGCAGUUCUCUGGCCAAAUCAUGUGUCCAGAGAUGCAUGUACAAGGGCAAAGUGUGAUGAUAUAAACAACAUACAGAAAGGGUUGCUACAGGAAAUUGUUUUGUAGAAAGAUGUAUAUCAGAAAAUCAAUUGCAUAGCAAAGUGUGUACAUUGGCUCCCAGUACGUUUCCGAGCACAAUUCAAAGUGUUGGUGCUGACCUUUAAAGCCCUAAACGGCCUCGGUCCUGUAUACCUGAAGGAGUGUCUCCAUCCCCAUCGUUCAACCCGAGCACUGAGGUCCAGCACCAAGGGCCUUCUGGCGGUUCCCUCACUGUGAGGAGCGAGGUUACAGGGAACCAGGCAGAGGGUCUUUUUGGUAGUGGCGCCCACUCUGUAGAUCGCCCUCCCAUCAGAUGUCAAGGAAAUAAACAACUAUCUGACUUUUAGAAGACAUCUUAAGGAAGUCCUGUUUAGGGAAGUUUUUAAUGUCAAUUGUUUUAUAGUGCCUUUAAUAUUCUGCUGGGAGCCACCCAGAGUGGCUGGGGAAACCCAGUCAGAUAGGCAGGGUAUAAAUGUUGUUUAGUUUUUAGUCGUGUCUGACUCUUUGUGACCCCAUGGAGCAGAGCACACCAGGCACUCCUGUCUUCCACUGCCUCCCACAGUUUGGUCAAACUCAUGCUGGUAGCUUCGAGAACAAAUAAUUCCAGAAUUAUUAUUAUUAUUAUUAUUAUUAUUACUAUUAUUACUAUUGGAAAUUCAAAGUAAAAUAUUGAUGGACAUUCUGAAGGACUAUUUUCUUGAAGAAAUGCAAAGUGAGCUAAACAAGACUGGAAAAAAUGAGAAACAGAAUAAACAAAAUUUCCAAAGGACCUAUGGCGACCAUAAGUAGACUCAAGAAGGGUUCAGAGGAGCAGCAUAAGGUUCAGUAGCAGUGUACAAAUGCAGCCAGAAGAAGAAGAAGAAGAAGAGUUUGGAUUUGAUAUCCCGCCUUUCACUCCCUUUAAGUAGUCUCAAAGCGGCUAACAUUCUCCUUUCCCUUCCUCCCCCACAACAAACACUCUGUGAGGUGAGUGGGGCUGAGAGACUUCAGAGAAGUAUGACUGGCCCAAGGUCACCCAGCAGCUGCAUGUGGAGGAGUGGAGACGCGAACCCGGUUCCCCAGAUUACGAGACUACCGCUCUUAACCACUACACCACACUGGCUCUAGAACGUUAAACACACACACACACACUUAAAUUGCAACAUAUUAUAAGAAUCCUGGGAAGCGAAGUGGGGACAGAGCUUCCUUAAAAAAAAAAAAGUGGGGGAGAUGGCAGUACAGUGGUACCUUGGUUCUCAAACUUAAUCAGUUCCAGAAGUCCGUUCCAAAACCAAAGCGUUCCAAAACCAAGGCGUGCUUUCCCAUAGAAAGUAAUGCGAAAUGGAUUAAUUUCUUCAAGACUUUUAAAAACAAUCCCUAAAACAGCAUGAAUUUUAUGAAUUAACAUGAAAUAAUUCAUGAAUUAACAUGAAUUUUACUAACGAGACCAUUGAUCCAUAACAUGAAAGCAAUAAUCAAUGUACUGUACUAUAAAAUAAAUUAGACAGUAUUGUAGAUGAUUUUAAAAAAAAAAUUUAAAAAUUCUUACCUGCACUGAUGAUAGUCAUUGUUUGGAUAGGGGGCUUUUAUCCAUUUCCACAGUCACACAAUCAAUCAAUCAAUCAAUCAAUCAAUAGCGUCAAAAACAAAAACGCAAAAUAAAUAGCAAAAACAAAAGCGCCAAACUUAAUCUGUUCCAGAAGUCCAUUUGACUUCUGAAAUGUUUGAAAACCAAGGCACAGCUUUCUGAUUGGUGCAGGCACCCCAGAAACAAUAGCCAACAACUGCAUCAGAUGUUCAGCUUCCGAAAAAUGUUUGAAAACUGGAACACUUACUUCCGGGUUUUCAGCAUUUGGGAACCAAGGCGUUUGAGUACCAAGGCGUUUGAGAACCAAGGUACCACUGUACUCAGGCUAGGAUAGGAAGUGUGCUGUGUGGCUUGGCAGGGAGCCCUGCCCUCUAAUUUAUUUGUUUGUGGGGGUAGGCUACAGUUGCUUGAAAGAUAGAUGAUAGAUAGAUGGUAGAUAGAUGGUAGACAGACAGACAGACAGACAGAUAAACAUUUGACCCCGCCCCUUGUAAUUACCACACAACCUGCUUCUUAUACAGUGGUACCUUGAUCUAUGAACUUAAUCCGUUCCAGAAGUCCGUUCUUAAACCAAAGCCAUUCUUAAACCGAGGUGCGCUUUCCUUAAUGAGGCCUCCUGCCACCAGUGCCCUUCCACCAUUCGGCUUCUGUUUGUAAACCAAGGUAAAGUUCGCAAACCGGGACACCUACUUCUGGUUUUGCGGAGUUCAUAUACAGUGGUACCUCGCAAGACGAAUGCCUCGCAAGACGAAAAACGCUUUUCGUUUUUUGAGUUGCUUCGCAAGAUGAAUUUCCCUAUGGGCUUGCUUUGCAAGACGAAAAAUGAAAACGUCUUGCAAGUUUGUUUCCUUUUUCUUAAAACCGUUAAUACCCUAUGGGAAACCGUGCUUCGCAAGACGAAAAAUUCGCAAGACGAAAAAACUCGCGGAACGAAUUAAUUUCGUCUUGCAAGGCACCACUGUACCAAAUAAUUCGUUAACGGGGUUGUUCUUCAACUGAAGUACCACUAUAUGGGCUAGCUUUUUAACUGUGAAGCUGCAAAGGGGUGGCCUGUUGUUAUACGAAGACUGAAUGAGGAGCAUUUUAGUUUACAACUGUGUUUGGCCGGUGGGUUUGCAAAGCUGCUGCGUGGUUUUCAGGCUGAUCAUAUGAUAUCAAUUAACAACACGUAUUCUGAGCCAAAGCUCUUUAACCUCAUUACAUGUAUCAUCCAGUGCGGAAUUUCUCCACAGAGUCUUGUAAUGCCAGCUCCUGGUAGUACGGAGGCUAAAAACAAUGGAAGAUUAGCAAAGAUCCCUGCUCAGUUACCAGUAGCUGCAAAGAGCUUGACUACUUAUUCCCCUUUUUACUCUGCAUUUCAAGUAUUAAUCCCCUCAUAGUUGUUUAUACUUUUUUUACUGUUAAUGAACUGGAGGCAAAGCAUUUUACCUACCAAGAAGUUAGUAAUAAUUAAGGUUGCUGGGGCCAUUAUAUUUUAAGCCUGCCAUUAUAAAUAUGCAUAAACCAUGCACUUCUGAAAACCCAACCAUUCAGAUAUGUGGUGGCAUCAAGUUCACAGUCUUCCUGCCUAGCUUGGCCUUAAGGAAUGACAGUGUCAUUUCUAUACAUAUAACAUCCACUAAUACAUAGCUGUCAAGCGUCCCUUAUUUGGCGGGAAAGUCCCUUAUCCCAGCGCCGUGUCCCGCUGUUGUCCCUUAUUGAUGAUGUCCCUUAAAUUUCCUGGGUUUCAAAGGAAGCAGCUCCUCUCCCUCCCUCCCUGCUGGCCAGGAAGGAGGGAGGCUCCAACUGGGUCGCUUGGCUGCGUUGCUCACCCAAUAAGGAGUCUAAGAACAACUGGGGGGUGGAGCUUGCAUGCCUUGUGCCAAUCAAAUUGGCCGCGUUGCCUAGGGACUCACCAUUGCUCAGCGCUUCCCAGCGGAGAGGUGACGGUGGUUUCCCUUGCUGCAUCCCCUUUGCCGGCUUGCUGUGCUGUGGGAACCACCGCUUGAGGCUUCGUUUGGCUGCUGGCUGUGCUUUCUGCCUUUGGCCGGAGGGGCUCAGAAGUUGAACAUAUCUGUGCUUGGAAAAUCCCUUAUUUUGGCUGCUGAUCCCUUACUGUAUUUUCAAAUCUGUAACUUGACAGCUAUGCACUAAUAUAACAUCCACUGAGAUCAACGAGUGUGCAGGAUUGUAGCCUAAGCUGUGUAGCAUGGACACCACUUCUCCCUGCAAAUGCACUGAGUGCAUUUUCUUCUUCUUUGCAAAGCACUGCCAGACCAGCAGGAAGUUACAGGUUGGGCACUAACUGGAAACGGGGCAGUGUGACCGCUCCAAAACAUUUGCAGCUGCAAACAAUAUUGAAUUAGAGGUUUUGGGCAAAGUGCCAUCACUCAGUAAUGUUGCACUCCAACCCCAAUGUCCAAGUGGUGCAAGAUUCCAGACACUUACCCAAAGUUGUUGUUUCCUUUUUUGAAUGAGAGACAGCACAAGCUGCGGCGUCUUUAGGAUAUAUGGCUUAUCUACACAUAUAUACGGGACGCGGGUGGCACUGUGGGUUAAACCACAGAGCCUAGGACUUGCCGAUCAGAAGGUCGGCGGUUCGAAUCCCCGCGACAGGGAAGGUAAAUGGCAUUUCUAUGCGCUGCUCUGGUUCGCCAGAAGCGGCUUAGUCAUGCUGGCCACAUGACCCAGAAGCUAUACGCCGGCUCCCUCGGCCAAUAAAGCGAGAUGAGGGCCGCAACCCCAGAGUUGGUCACGACUGGACCUAAUGGUCAGGGGUCCAUUAAUACUGUCCAUUAAUACUAACAAACCGUAUCUCCCAUUCAUCUCUCAGAUCCCCUUGUAAAUCUAAAGUACUGACCUCACCACAUCCUGCGGUAAAAAAAUUCCCCAAGUUAAUUACACAUUAUGUGAAGGUAAGUGUGUGAAGCUACAACAUUCCUACUAUCAGCUUAAGUGACACAUUCAUUCUCUCUCUCUCUCUCUCUCUCUCUCACACACACACACACACACACACACACAGUGUAGAGCCCCUCUGAGCCAAAGGCCCAAAGGCAGAAAGCCCAGCCAGCAGCCAAAUGAAGCCUCAAGCGGUGGUUCCCACAGCGCAGCAACCCAGCAAAGGGAUACAGCAGCAAGGAAAACCACACAGUCACCUCUCCGCUGGGAAGCGCUGAAGCAAAGGCGAGCCCCCAGGCAACGCAGCCAAUUUGAUCGGCACAAGGCAUGCAAGCUCCACCCCCCCAGUCAUUCUCAGACUCCUUAUUGGUGAGCAACGCAGCCGAGCAACGCAGUUGAGGAACCUCCCUGGCCGGCAGGGAGGGAGAGGAGCUACUUCCUUUGAAAUCCGGGAAAUUUACGGGAUAUCAACAAUCCGGGAUAGCAGCGGGAAAAGGCGCUGGAAUAAGGGAGUUUCCCACCAAAUAAGGGAAGGUUGACAGCUAUGUGGGGAGUGUCCUGGGGGGGGUGCCGCCUGCACCAAUGUCAUCCCCCUCAGGGAUGACACCCGGGGAAGACCACACUCACCUUGCUCCACCUCUGUCUGUCGCGCAGGUUGAAACCCAUUUAGUUCAUUAGGGAGCAGUGGUAAAGAGUGCUCCUGCAGGUUCCUAACCAUCUUAUGAUGGAAGGCCAUCAGUGACAAAUGUGAAAUUCUAACUGCAGAGCUGAAUUUGUCAUUCUGACUUGAUCAGCGGCUGGACUCCCAAUUGCUUGCCUUUUCCUCUAAUUCCUGGCUUUUCCAGCAGACAAUUCUCUUCCCAAUACAAAACAGGGAGCAAAAAAUCUGAACACCGCCCCCCCCCCCGGUUUUGCUGUGAAAUGGAUUGUUCACCUUUGCACCCAUAUAACUGCCUUUUUGUCAUGGCUCCCAUCUGCCUUCUCCACACUCUGUUACUCCAUUUUUAUGGUAACUCGUUUAAAAUGAAGACAAGUUGUAUUAAUAACGUAUAUCAAUCCGGAAGACUUAAUCUUUCACUCUUUUUUUCCUCUUUUUUUUUUACAAGUCUGCCUUAUUCAGACAUAAGCUGAUAAGAUUACAAGUGCUAAAACAAUCUGUGAAAUGAUGCAUGGACUUUUAAGCAAAUUAAUAAGCGCCUUGGAGCAAUGAUAUAUAUAAUCAGUGAAGCACCUGAAUCUUUCACAGUAGAUAGAGCCUCAAAGGGCCUUUUUUAUCUGUUUAAUUAUAGUGAAAGGGAUAAAUUGUUGGCUUUGCUGGGAGGAAAGAGCCAACUUAAAACAUGCAGUCUGGGGAAUUUCUUUUAGAGAAUACACUUCCUGCACUCUUAAAUAUUAAAGUUUGAUGCUUUAAUAUUUAACCAAUGGACAGUCCACUGAGACACCUAUUUCAUUUCCACUGGGGUCUCGAGACAAGCUUCAGCUAGUUUUAAUAGACAUCACACAUUUUUUAAAAAAUAGGCACCGUUAAGUCACCGUUCAGCUAAGAGCCAUGGGGUACAAUAAGCUGUGUGGGUCAAAAGCACAGGUCCUAGAGGAACCGCUGAAGUAGAACUGUGUCUUUGUUAUUAAUCCAGAAAUUGCAUUUUUGAACAUAUAUUGCUGACUGUAUAAGUCUCCUUUUUUUUCCCCUCUCCCCUCGUGGUAAUUUCCUCUCACAAACAAGACUUGCCCUUUUUAUUUUUAUUUUGUUUCCCCACAAAGCCACCCUUUAAGCUCAUUUCCAGCUGGCAUUUUAUAGAAAUCCGAAUGGCUGUGGUCAGGCUGGCUCUGUGUGUUCGUGCCACUGCUCAUAUUAGACACCUCUAAUAAUGCUCCUCAACUGGAUGCGACUUGGACGUGACCCUCUUUACGAAUGCAAGGUAACUUCACUAGGGCCUUUUGAAGGCAGACUGUCGGGUCAAACUGAGGCAGUUUAGGUGUGAUGCUUGUGACUGACUGUCAUCCAGAGGGGAAUGUAAGCUCCAUAUCUCCCACUCCCGCCAGGACCUUGCUGCCUAAAGGAGCAAGCAGCUAUCCUAUUUUUAAAAGACAUCUGAAGGCAGCCCUGUUUAGGGAAGUUUUUAAUAUUUAACGCUGUAUUGUUUUUAACACUCGAUUGGGAGCCGCCCAGAGUGGCUGGGGAAACUCAGCCAGAUGGGCGGGGUAUAAAUAAAUUAUUAUUAUUAUUAUUAUUAUUAUUAUUAUUAUUAUUGACUUGCACUACUAGGGCAUGGGUAGCAAUGUUCUUUUCUACAUUUCUAGGCAGAACCGUAAGGCGCAAUGCAGAGAGUGGUGGUAGACAAUGCACAUCACAACAGCAUUUCCAUUUCUACAUCUGGAAAAUGGUUGCUUCCAAAACUUCUUCUCAAAAUCCUCCGCACACAAAUUUCUGAAUGUAAAAUAGUCUCCAAAUAUUGUCUAUUUGCAAAAUAUUUGGGAUCUAAUUUGACAUUCUGAUUGCUGGUAUUUAGUAUCUAACUUGACACGUGGCAUCAUCUGGCUUCAUUACUGACAAUCGAUAUUUGAGAGGAUUCGAAAGUAGGCAUGGAAUAGCAGUUAGCAUUUGAUGGCUGACAUGCAAUAGUCUGUAGUAUUAAACAGUACAGUGGUACCUCGGGUUAAGUACUUAAUUCGUUCCAGAGGUCCGUUCUUAACCUGAAACUGUUCUUAACCUGAAGCACCACUUUAGUUAAUGGGGCCUCCUGCUGCUGCCACGCUGCCGGAGCCCGAUUUCUGGUCUUAUCCUGAAGCAAAGUUCUUAACCUGAAGCACUAUUUCUGGGUUAGCGGAGUGUGUAACCUGAAGCGUGUGUAACCUGAAGCGUAUGUAACCUGAGGUACCACUGUAUUUUGAAGUUGGCAUAAAAUGAUAUUCAAUGUUCCAGCAUGAAUUUUAGUUUACUGCAUUUUUAUUGCCUUUCUAGAAUACUUUUUACAUGUUUUUUAAAAUGUUGCCAUUUUUGAAAUUGCUAGCCAUUUCUUUUUUCUUUCUCAUACAGCUGUGAAGGACCCCCACUAGCAAGCAAUGAAAACUUGCAGUGCAGUGCUAGCAGGCUUAAUAUGUGAGCAUGCUGGAGAUUUAGGGUAUCUUGGUAAUAUUUGCAUUCUUUACAUCUAUAUAAGCAGAGGCAUGCAAACUCCUAUAAGCAGACUGCAGAGUCUCAAAGACCAUCUCCGAAGGCUUGCACCCCUAGUUCCAGCUAAUUCCAGCUGUGAACUCUUAGGACCAAACUAGAUUUCAUUUAAUACUUAGUGGGCAAUUAAUACCUUCUUUUCCCCAAAACAAUUACAAUUGCAGGGGAUCAUGGUUCUGCAGGUAAAUUGCCCACACAGAGCUAGGAGAAGUUAAUAGUCUUUUGUCAGAUCCCCAGCCGCUCGUCCAUGGUGACAAGGUGGUCAAAAGCUUGCAACAAUAUGUUUUUUUCUACAGCACUUUAUGUAUUUCUAAUAGAAAAGCCAUUUAGAAACAUUAUAAAUAAAUAAUAUCAAAAUAAAUGGUCGGACCGCAAACAGUAGUUUGCACUCCCUCCGCUAAAUCGGCCUCAUCUAUCUCACAGGGGCUUUGAAAGCUGGUCUACUUGCCUUUGUUCUUGUCAGUUUCACCUUCCUUGGGAUUUGCUGAACAUUCUCCUUUGUAGGCACCUCCACAAGUCCUGAGUUUACAAGAUCUAAGCAGGCAUGUGAAGCAGUUGCUCUCCUACUAGCUGAUCAAAAUAAACCUUAGGAAAUCUAAGCUGCUGUUCCGAAGCAGAUCCUAUUGUCAGGCCUCAACUUCUCUAGAAGUUUAUUUUUGCUUGAUUCUAACUGGUUCGUCUCUAAGCAGAUUUUGCAAGACCUUGACUCAUUUCCAAAUUCUAAACUUGAGCUGCUAGAUGGGAUGCCCUUUGCCAAGAAGCCAAGUGCAAGAUGUCAGUAUCAGAACUUUACAAACCAAACAUAAUGAUAUGAAGCAAGCUAUUGUUCAGUUUUACAACAUAGCAGUACAGUGGUACCUCGGGUUAAGAACUUAAUUCGUUCCAGAGGUCCGUUCUUAACCUGAAACUGUUCUUAACCUGAAGCACCACUUUAGCUAAUGGGGCCUCCUGCUCCCACUCCCGCUGCGCCACCGCUGCACAAUUUCUGUUCUCAUCCUGAAGCAAAGUUCUUAACCCGAGGUAAUAUUUCUGGGUUAGCGGAGUCUGUAACCUGAAGCGUCUGUAACCCGAGGUACCACUGUAUAUGUAUGUGUCCUUUUAGUAAUAUGAUUGGAAUGGAGGCCAAUGUUAAAUUGUUUUGUCACUUUUUUUGGCUUUUCUUGUAUUAUAGGUUAAACCACAUAAGAAAGGGAAGAACAGUAGGACCAAAAAUGACAAAGAAACCAAGAAAAGGUCAUCAUCAUCAUCAUCUUCAAACUGGAGGCGGAUGAAUAAUGUAUUGAUGUGAAAACAAAUGUCCAACGUUUUUCCAUAAUUAUAUUAUAUCUUCUAUAGGAGGGACAUAUGGUGGAGGUUACAGGAAUAUGACAAUCAGUUGUCAUUGACUGUAUUAAAUACACUUGAUCAAAUGUGUAUGUAUAGGCUAGACAGACUUUGGUUCUAUUGUCGUCAUGUUUCAUCAAAGUAAGGACCCAGUUUUACUUGGCCUCAGUGAGUCUACCAAAUAUUAAUCAAAAUGUCAUAAAAAUGUUGCCAGCUCUAAUACACACCUGGAAUAUAAUUUUGUUUUCAAAUGUUAGGCAUGUGAGACAAACAUUCCAUGUUGAAAUAUUAUCUCUUUCUUUGGUUUUGCAACCAACCAACCCUCAGGCUGUGUCCGUGCCAGGGUUUUAAUACAUAUGUAAGUUACAGAGAUAGUUUGUUUUUUCCCCCAUGUGUGUUUUUGUUCACUCUCAUAUACAAAGGAGCACUUUAAAACUUAUCACUCCCAAAUCUAUCUUGAUGUUUCCCAUCCGUACUAGUGGGAAGUUCUUGAUGGGAUAUAUUUGUUGUGUGUGCUCUUGUCCUCCCUCCUCAAUUUCUCCUUCCCCGCCCUCCAGAAUAUCCAUAAACCUGAGCAUAAGUAACUUUGACUCCACAAGGUCAUCAUGUGGAUGAAAUGAGCCCACAGAAUGUGGCAACCCACUAAAAAAAAUCCAGUUGUGCAAAAUUCCUUUCUGCUCUCCUACCUAUCCUGCAGAGAAGAAUUACCACUGAAAUCUGUUUAAACUGAAAAUUCAAGGUGAAUUUGAGGGUUUCCACUUGGCUGUAACGUCCAAAGAAUUUCAAAGGAAGCAAAAAUAGUUUAAAAAAUAACAUCAAUGACAUUUCAGGGUAGUGGGAUUAUGGUGUAUUGAGGCAUAUAACGUUGAAAUAGCAGUGAUGACAAUAUAAACAGUGGCAUCAUCUUGAAAUAGUAUCUUGUAAUGCAGCCCGAACUAUAGAUGACUAACUGGUCAGACACCAGGUGGCAAUAUUAAUUGGGUUAUCGCAUAACUGCGAGAAGAAACCCUGCCAAUUGUGCCAAGACCUGUUCAAGGAACAUGGACUCUGUCCAGAGUUGCCAGGGCUAUAUUUGAAAACCUCCAGGUCUGUGCUUUGUUGCUUGAUGUCAGAAUUGGCUGCAAAUUUCUGGGGUCCACCUGGUGAGCUUCCUUUAUGCUGUUGGGAUCUACCAUGCCAGCCCCAGCCACCCAUGUUGGCAGGCAGCCUCUUUUUCCCUCCUCUCUGCUUUAUUUCUAUGAGAAAUGUGGGCCUACUACUUUGAUGAAUGCCAGGAGAUUGCCAUUGUAAUUCCCCAUGGUGUCCAUAGCUGUCAACCGUCCCUUAUUUGGCGGGAAACUCCCUUAUCCCAGCACCGUGUCCCUUAUUGAUGAAGUCCCUUAAAUUUCCCGGGUUUCAAAGGAAGCAGCUCCUCUCCCUCCCUCCCUGCCGGCCAGGGAGGAGGGAGGCUCCAACUGUGUUGCUUGGCUGCCCCGCCCGCCCCCCGUCGGCCUCCUCUCACCAGCCUCAGCCCCUGGGAGCCCCUCCCUGCCGGGACUGGCGGGAGCCUCGGGCCCUUCCGCCACUAUCCUCCUCGCGGCUGCCAAACUGAGUGUCUCUGCCUGGGGCCUCCCUUCUGCUCGUCGCUGCCGCUCCUGCUAGGCCAUACUGCAGCUACGCCACCGAAGGACCCAGAUGAGAUGGGCAGCCUGGCAUGGCCUAUGAGUUGCUGAGGAGCCUUGAGAGGAGAGCGAGGGCAACCAUAGAGAAAGCAGUUCAGAGAGAGGAGGCAGAGGUGGAGGUGCAGGCAGGUCUUCCAAGGGCUAACCAUAGAGGGGGGGAGAAGCGAAAAGUGGUUGCUGCUUGUAGUUAUUUAAUUACAGUGUUUCAUCAGCUGGUGUCUUGAGCAGCAACCUCUGGAAACAAAGGGCUAAAAACCGGCGCUGCUCUCCAAAAUUAUCUGCUCCUUUUUAACAUCAUAUUUCAGCUGGUUGACUAAAAUCCCUUAUUUUUGAGGCUGCUGGUCCCUUAUUUUCAAAUCUGUAAGUUGACAGCUGUAAUGGUGUCACUCCAGGGCAUUGUGGGUAAUUACAAUGGCAGCCACCUGGAAAGGCGACUCAGGCCACAGCUACAUUAAGCCUCAACUGCUGCAUGAGGAUUGCACCUACUGAAACACGCCUGUCCAUUGUGGUGACACAUUCAUGGCAGUGGACGGAAAGGCACUCAAGGCUAUGAACUUAUCCCAGGGGUCCAUCUAAAUCACCUUUGCUUUCCCUCUGACCUGGUAGGGCUAUAACAGCGUAGCCCAGGGGUCUGCAACCUUUAAGACAAAAAGAGCCACUUGGACCCGUUUCUGAAGGGAAAAAAACUGGGAGCCGCAAAAUUCAUCAUUAUAAAAAUAACUUUUUUGUCACUUUUUUAUUAUUUCUUUGUUUGACCCCUCAGAAUUACUCCUCCUCAUAGAAAUAGACGUUAAAUUAACAAGUUACCUUUUUGUGUGUGUGUGUUCUUCACUCCCCUUCAAAACAGUGACCAGCGUACAUGCCCCUUACAAUGUAGCGGGCGGGCGGGAAGGUGACGUCGGGACGGUGCAUGACUAACGCACACACCGCCCCCAUGCGACGUCACAGCCAGUACAGCGCCCGCCACAGUGGGGAGUGUCAGGGCGCACAAUGCGCCUCCUCCCCUCGCUAGUAUCCGCCCCGGAGCCACGGCAAAGGUGUAAAAGAGCCACAUGCGGCUCCGGAGCCACGGGUUGCAGACCCCUGGCUUAGCCUUUACAUAGGCAAAAGUAUUACCCUGAAGUAUUUAAGGCUUAAGAGACACCACCACAGCACAUUUCUCAAUGAACUUUAAUAAUAACCUCGACCUGGCACCUCAACGGCCAUCGCUUCCUUUGGGGCUAGUAUGGGCGGACUGUUACAUUAACCAAACAUGGCCUACCUAUAGCUAAUUGUCUUGCUUUGUGACAAUGCCAUCCAAUUAGGGAAAUGCCUCUUGCCACCGAGAAGCCAUUUGUCUCUGUUGCUGCGCCCCUUACCUCUGCUCUCUGAGCAGUUGAAGCAUUCAGUCUGAGACAUUCUGAGAGCGCUCUGUGUGUGAUACACUGAAAACCCAACCUUCAUGCAUCACUACCCCCUGGGUGUUACAUGCCUCACCGCCUCACACAAAAGGCCCAUUUUCAGUGUGACCAUGCAUACGUGAUUCCUUCUAAAAUAUGUACAGCCAGGAGAUAUGCCUUGUGUUUCUUGGCAAAACCUCCUGGCCUUGCUUUAAGUUAAGGUCACAACAGCUGAUUCAAGAGCCAGCAUAUCAAUCAAUUUAAAAUAUCUUCUCCAGGGAAGCCAUUUUACAAAAAUAGAGCAUUCUAUAUUCAUAUCUUUGUUUCAGAUUCUUCUUCUCAUUACAAAUGAUCUGUUUUACAGCCUGGCCUAGUGGCUAUCAAACUUUCGGCCAUCAGGAAACGUUCCCCACAUUGACUUGUCCUCUGAGGAGGCCAUAACGCCACUGUUUAUCCAGGGAAAUUGGCAAAUCUGGUGGGUCUAGAUGCGGCCUUGUACAAACUGAUGGAGCAGGAGAAGAUUAGUAAUUACAUUCAGUCUGUUUUUCAAGGAAGGGUCAUCCAUCAGGAAAGCUUGUUCUUAUUGGAGAACACCUAGUAAGCUUUAUUGGAGAACACCUGAGAGCCAGUGUGGUGUAGUGGUUAAGAGCGGUAGAUUCGUAAUCUGGUGAACUGGGUUCGAUUCCCCGCUCCUCCACAUGCAGCUGCUGGGUGACCUUGGGCCAGUCACACUUCUCUGAAGUCUCUCAGCCCCACUCACCUCACAGAGUGUUUGUUGUGGGGGAGGAAGGGAAAGGAGAAUGUUAGCCGCUUUGAGACUCCUUAGGGUAGUGAUAAAGCGGGAUAUCAAAUCCAAACUCUUCUUCUUCUUUAAAAUUGCUGUGAAACUCAUAGGGAGCAAUUCAACCAAAGGGAUGAGAGUCCAACUCAACUCACACCAAAAUCAAUGGGAUUUACAUCAGCCAUGACUAAGUCCCAUUCCAUCAUUAUUGGUGACUAAGCCAAAGGUCACCAAGUCGCUUUCCAUGGUAGAGGGAUGGAUACAGUCACAGACUCUUCUCGUUUCCACCAUUGCCCAGUUUGAAUCAAGGCUACAACAGAAAGGUCUUAGAGGCCGUUAAGAAAGAACCAAUUGCCAGCAACCAGAGACAGGACUGUUUUCAUGGUAGGCCUACAUCUCUGGAAUUGCCUCCCCAAAUAUCUCCCUCAAGCCCCUUCUCCGGCUGUUCCAAACAGCCCACAAAGAUUCAUUUGGUUCCUUUAGUCUUCUCUUGAACGACUUUAUGUUGACGUAUUCUUGUUUUUAACCACUUGGUUUUAUAUUGUGUUGUUAAAUGAAUGAAUGAAUUUAUUUGUUGUUACGACCAUCACAGUCAUUUCAACCACCACUAAAAAAGAGAUAUACAUACUAUACAAAAUUUACAUAGAUACACCAAUACAAGGCAGCAUCACCAUACACACACACACACACACACACACACAGAGCGAAGUCAUUUUCUAUAAUUCACUGCAUAUAAUUGUGUUGCUAUAUUUUGUUAUAUUUUUAAUUAUUUAGUUCCGUACUUCCUUAUGAAGACUGGAUCCUGAAAGGUGUGGCAGGUCUGUCUAAACCAAGUGUGGGGAGAACCUCAGGCCCUGAGCCAAAAGCUGCUCACAUGGCCUCUCUGUCUGGCCCUGGCGUUCUCUGCAAGCCGCACCCCUCACAGAUGCUGACCGGCACUCUCCUUGUGCUGUUGAAUUGCGAGAACUCUGCUAAUGCCUCUGGCUUGCCUGAAUGGAGAGACGUGGGGCAUGCAUGUGCCAAAACCUCUGAACUGGUGUGGUUGGGAAUGUAGUCUAUUGAACAAAGAUGAGGCGUCACAUCCAUUGUUCCACCCACUUGUUCCAUCUCACCUUAUCUACCACUGGUAUGUGGUCCCCAGAAGUUUGCCCAUGACUGAAUGUGGCCUUCGAACAGUACAUUUUUUCUUUAAAAAAUGUUUAGGGGUACUCUCAUUUUGAUUCAAGAAAACCACCAUUUUAUAAUUCAAAUUGGGAAAAACAAAUACAGUAAACGGACAAAAGUACCAAGAACAUGCAUUACCUCAUAUUACACAGUUGACAGCUCACAAUAACUUCCACAUUGGCAUGAGGUUAUGUGCACUAACAUCUUCGCGAUUCCUCUGCUUGCUGUUGGUGUCCGUCGCCAGAUGUUGUCCUUUCAAAAACCAUGAAUUUACCGUACAUAAAUUGCAGGCUUAAACAAACACAAAGGGGGGCCUACCAAUUUUAUAAACAUUAAGUUGGCUACAGUGUUUAAAUGCAACAGCGCUCUUAUUGGAGUCAGUAUUAAAUUCACCUGAGAGAAACCACGUUCACACUCCCUUGUUGAAAUUGGGAUGUUCUUGGUUGCGUUUAAAAGAGGCAUAAGAGAUGAUGGAAUCUUAUUUUCUGAAAAGUACAGUGGUAUCUCGGGUUACACACGCUUCAGGUUACAUACACUUCAAGUUACAGUCUCUGUUAACCCAGAAAUAGUGCUUCAGGUUAAGAACUUUGCUUCAGGAUGAGAAUAGAAAUUGUGCUCCGGCGGCACGGCAGCAGCAGGAGGCCCCAUUAGCUAAAGUGGUGCUUCAGGUUAAGAACGGUUUCAGGUUAAGAACGGACCUCCGGAACAAAUUAAGUACUUAAGCCAAGGUUCCACUGUACUCAGAAAAGUAGUUUUAGUUUCUUCUCCUGUUAGAUUCACAAAAUGUUUAGGGGUAUGAGUACCCCUGUGUACCCCCAGGAAAAAAGCACUGGUCUAAAAACCUCUGGUAUCAACUAGCAACAACACAGGUCUCCCCACCCUUACAAGCUGUUUUCUUCAGUGGAAAUGGGCUCCCCUCACCCAAGCUGCUAUUACCCAAAGGGGGAAUGUGGGAUUUUCAGUCAAAAUGGCAAAGGCAUGGUUGCCACACAAGCACAUGAGGGGCUGACACUCAUAGGGUUCCUGCAUCAAUAUAGAAGGGACUGUAUGAAGUCACUUCCUUAAGGCUUUGGAGGGAAUUUCUAACAAAGGAGAUAAUUCUAUCUCCUGAGCUCUGUCUCUUUUUCUUUCAAUUCAGUGAUGUGAGCAAACGUCCAUCCCUGGGCACUCCUCAGAUCCCAGACUCCAUUUUGGAAACCAAUUUUUUAUUUUGUAACUAAGAAGUAUUUUUACCUGCAUACUAGUUUGAUGUAUUUUCUGGCUGCACUGAAAUGUAAGCAAACUAUUAUUAUUAUUAUUAUUAUUAUUAUUAUUAUUAUUACUACUACUACUACUACUACAUGUCGUUCAAUCUUAGCUAUGUGGACAAAGAGGGGAAGGUUAGUAGACCACAACUAAAUGGGGAUAAAAAGGUGAAAUUGCCGAAUUCCUAGCUGCAAAAGUGUUCUUACUCAGCUAAAAGAGCUUCACAGCCUGUUUACUCUUAUACUUCUCUCACACACAUGGGAUAGGAGUUUUCAUUUUAAUUUGCAGGUUUAAUCCUCAACCCACCUCCAUCAAGGAAAACAUAUAGACAUUUUGUGGAUCUGCAUUAGGGAGCAAGCAUUAAAUCCCACCAAUCCAAAUCUCUGGUGGGGAGAUUGGGGACGCGGGUGGCGCUGUGGGUAAAACCUCAGUGCCUAGGACUUGCCGAUCGCAUGGUCGGCAGUUCGAAUCCCCGCGGCGGGGUGAGCUCCCGUCUUUCGGUCCCAGCUCCUGCCCACCUAGCAGUUCGAAAGCACCCUUAAGUGCAAGUAGAUAAAUAGGUACCGCUUUAUAGCGGGAAGGUAAACAGCGUUUCCGUGUGCUGCGCUGGUGCUGGCUCGCCAGAGCAGCUUCGUCACGCUGGCCACGUGAACCGGAAGUGUCUCCGGACAGCGCUGGCCCCCGGCCUCUUAAGUGAGAUGGGCGCACAACCCUAGAGUCGGACACAAGUGGCCCGUACGGGCAGGGGUACCUUUACCUUUACCUUUACCUUUACCUUUACCUUUAUUAAAUCCCACCUAUCCAAAUCUCUAGUCUCCAUGGUGACUUUUUGGGUAAGACAUCAGAUGGUCUAGUCAUGUGUAGUUUGACCCUUGGCCACAGAUAUUUCUUGAUAGAUUGUGCCAUUACUGUUCAAGUUGGGGAAACUUAAGUUGGUGCAGCAACAAGAAAUGUUUGAGACGAUGAGCCUUGCGAUGGAAAAAAUGACAGGGGUGGUAAUUGGUAAUAGAAAACUCAUCACAGUUAAAAUUCAUGAUUAGAGACUGUCAAGAAACAAGAACAAAGGCCUAUAAUUAUCAGGCAAAGGCCCCAGGCACCACCCAGGUGUUAGGAAGGUAUGUCAGCUGGGCAUGCAAAGGCUAUUCUUCUAUGGAAAAUUCUUCCCAGGUUGAAAGCUGGAAAGCAAGUCCAUUAUACUCUGAGCUUCCCAAAGUGAACAUGCUUGUUAAUAUAAUUUGCCUUCUUAGGGUGUCUUAACAAAGCUUAAAUCAGAUUUGUGUUAAAUUUGCUCUGAACACUAAUAAACAUUGGGUGCUGUGUUUAUUCCAUUUCUCUUUUGAAAUUUGUCCUGCAUUUAAAGCAUUCAUGCAUGCCACGCGCAAAAAAACAAGGGAAGAUCAAAUGCACUUUUUAGUGAACACGCCCUAAAGCUCCAGCUCAAACAGUGCAAUGUUUUUAGAAAAUACACACACACAUACAAACCCCUCAGAGUUUUAUAUACGGAAUCUGACAGUGUUGUUCACAGGAUCCAUUUAGAAGUCUUACUGAUGAUUGUAUGUGCCAGUUGCAAGAAUUCAGGUUACCAACCAUUCAGUUUCAAGCAACAAAGAUCUAUUUUAUGCCAUGGGUGCAUCAAUUAUUAUUAUUAUUAUUAUUAUUAUUAUCAUCAUCAUCAUCAUCACUACUACUACUAUUUUAUUUAUACCCCGUCCAUCUAGGCUAGGUUGCUACUAUUGAGUGAAAUACAGUAUAUGGCUAUAGAACAUUUGAUUCCACACUUGUCAUUUUCUCUGGAAUUAGAAUGCUUUGUUAAUUUUUUAGAGAGAAUCCAAAUGUGUAUACAGUACAAGUGUGUGUGUAUGUGUGUGUAGCAUCCCACUGAUUUCUAUGCUGUCCUGUGUUUGUGGAAUCAUAGAAUUCCACCCCAAUGGUCAUCUAGUCCAACCCCCUGCAAUGCAGGAAUCUCAGCAAUAAGUAUACACAGGGUGCCUCUCCUGGCACUCAAAAUGGCGGAGUUUGACACCUGAGGUGAACCACAAAAUGGAGCCACUGCCACCCCCACAUAUCCCAUGCCAGUAAAGAAGGGGUGGGUGAAGAUCUAAAUAAUAAUAAUAAUAAUAAUAAUAAUAAUAAUAAAUUUUUAUUUAUACCCCACCCUUCCCGGUUCAGAAAACCAGGCUCAGGGCGGCUAACAACAAAUUUAAAACACUUAAUUGAUACAACAAAAAAACAGCAUAAAAUACGGUAUAAAACGUGAAUAACAAUAAAUUCAGAAUUCAAAAAUCAAUUCAGGAGGAAAAUCCAUCCAAUAAACAUUACAUGAUCACCAGGGCUAGCAGGCUAAAUUAGUCCUAUUUGAGCCAGCAAGGAGACCAGGGGAGAAUUAGCUGUGGGAUCCCAGAGCGGGCAAUCUUCAUAAAAAGGGGAGGGGGAGGGAAGGAAGGGAAAUAAAAGAUCAAGCUAAGUUCAAGUUGAAAGCCAGGCGGAAUAGCUCUGUCUUACAGGCUCUGUGGAAGGAAGUUAAAUCCUGCAGGGCCCUGGUCUCAUGGGACAGAGCAUUCCACCAGGUUGGAGCCAUCACUAAGAAGGCCCUGGCCCUGGUGGAGGAUAAUCUGACUUCUUUAGGGCCCAGGACCUCUAAACUAUGAUUAUUCAUGGACCUUAAGGUCCUUUGCGGGGCAUACCAGGAGAGGCGGUCAGGCACAAGGGGGGGGGACUAAAGAUCUACACGAGGAGCAAGGGUGAGAGACCCCAGCAGCGCCUCCUAUUCACCCAGAGGCCGCUGUAGAGACAGGAUGGAGGGGGCGCUGCGGAAGAGGCAACAGAUCCAGCCUGCCAUAAGUGUGCUGCAGCCGUUGCUAUAACUGUCCUGGUUAUAGAUAUUUAACAGCCCAGUCUGAAUCAGAAAUGAAUAUGUGCAAAUACAGUGGUACCUUGGUUCUCAAACUUAAUCCGUCCCGGAAGUCCGUUCCAAAACCAAAGUUUUCCAAAACCAAGGCGCACUUUCCCAUAGAAAGUAAUGCAAAAUGGAUUAAUCCACUCCAGAUUUUUAAAAACAACCCCUAAAACAGCAAUUUAACAUGAAUUUUACUAUCUAAUGAGACCAUUGAUCCAUAAAAUGAAAGCAAUAAACAAUGUACUGCAGUCACACUGUGGGAAUGUUUAUAUAGUUUAGCAGAGUUUAAACGAUCCCCUGUUUGAGUUUAUGCAGUGACAAGCAGGUUGCUAACUCAUUUGACUCCUAUCAAUAAUUAUACCUUCCUGGUUGAUAAUCCCUUUCUGUCCCUCUUAAAGAAAACACACAUGAAACUGAUAUUAACAUAAACUACUUUACUUUCUGAUUCAUUCAGGUUUACAGAGUUGUUCCUGAAGGCAGACUUAGGUUACAUAACAGAUAAACUAUAUACAGUGGUACCUCGGGUUAAGUACUUAAUUCGUUCCGGAGGUCCAUUCUUAACCUGAAACUGUUCUUAACCUGAAGCACCACUUUAGCUAAUGGGGCCUCCUGCUGCUGCCGCACUGCCGGAGUACGAUUUCUGUUCUCAUCCUGAAGCAAAGUUCUUAACCCAAGGUACUACUUCUGGGUUAGCGGAGUCGGUAACCUGAAGCGUAUGUAACCCGAGGUACCACUGUACUAGAUAGUAGUGAGUCAUGAGAAGACUGCAUCUGAGCAGUUACCAGUUAACACUCCUAGCAGGAACCGACCAACCAACUAACAUAGAGGCAGUUAGUCCUCUCUUGGAAUGUUGGACUUGACUGACAACUUUAUAUCCCACACACGCAAUUAAUCAAUCUCUAGCUGAACUGGGUUCCACACAGUCACAAAAACAAAACAAAAAGCCGCAAAAACAAAAACGCAAAAUAAAUAGGAAAAACAGACAGACCUCAGCAUGGCACUCAAAAUGGAAGCAUAACACUCAGUUCGGAAGCAUAUCAAGGAACUUCUGAAAAAAGUUCGCAAACCGGAACACUUCCGGGUUUGCAGCAGUCGGGUUCCAAGUUGUUCGACUACUAAGCCAUUCGAGAACCAAGGUACCACUGUAUUUUAAAUAUACCAAAAUUCCAAUUUUCACUUUUAAAAAAUCCCUCACAAAUUGAGUACUUUAGUCCUGUAGGCAUCCCUUGGAUGCCUCCUGAGCUGUCAAAUACUUCAGAGCCAUUGCAUGUCAUUUGUCUAAAGCUCCCACACUCAAGUCACCUGUAAGAUUACUGUCGAAUACUCAACACCAUUCCAUCCCGAUUAUCAAAAUCCGACCAAUGCCAAAUAGUAGCACAUGUCAACUAUCAAAUAGAGUCUGAUUAAAAAAAGCCACUGCACGUUAGCCAUCAACUAAAUCAAGAGAUAUUUCCAACUUCUAAUUGCUAUUUCAUGCCAACUAUUGCACUCUGUCAAAUAUUAGCUGUUGAGCAUCAAAUAUUUUAGUUUAAAUAACACUGACUCACGUGCAGAUAAUCUAAACAUUCGGCAAGUGCUCAGAGAAUAUCUGAAGAAUACACACCAUCAAGAUUUUCAGAGGGGAAAAGUGGGGAGCAAGUUGUUUUAUCUGUUGCUUAGUUGGAAGGCCUGGCCGGUCCCCCAAGUGCUGGUUCUGAGGUUUGUUCUUGUUCUUCGACUCUUUCUGAACGAGUCCUCUCUCCAUCUUAAAUUUCCUUGGGGGUCAUAAAACAAAUUUUAUCUGCUCCAUCGGGCAACACUACUCAACAUCCCACAGCAAUGUUGUGCAGCUAAGUACAUGUCAAGAACAUCCUGUUAACCCUUUGGGGUGUAAUGAAUAAUGUGCAAGAAGAUCGAUGCCUUCAUUUUGAGAAGGGCAAAUGAAUGUAAAGAGAGCUUAGGUAGCUCUCAAGACACCAUCAUAUCAAGCAGGGUUAUCCUGGUAGAGAGUCAGAAAGGAUGGUGGGAAAUCAGAUGCUAAAUGACAACUCUGUAUUCUCAGAACGUCUGGGUGGCUCUAAGUUAUGGGGACAAAAUUCAUGUUUCCCACCGAAUGCCUGUUACGCCUAAAGAAAUGUAUAAUGUUUGCUCUGUGUGUGAGAGUUAGAGAACCAGCCCUGAUAUGCAAGAAGGUGAAGUGGCUUGCUUCCAGAGUAGGACGGGGUGAAUCUACGUGUAAUUAUGCUCCCUUCCAUAUCCACCAGGACACAUGUCUUCCAGGACAUGCUCCUAGGUGAGUCAUAUUCUUCUUCUUCUUUGGAGAUCACUCGUAGCCGAGUAAGAUUGUCUUCCAUAAACAUGGUUUUAACAAUGAGUCCGUAGGUGACUGUGGAGGCCAAUUCUGGAUCCACACGUCCUUCCACAGUGGGGACAUUGGUUUCUGGAGAGGAGUUGAUCACAGUGUGGAUUUGCCAAGCGUGCCUUCCUCUUAGCACAUUUCUCCCUUGUGUCCUGAGUUUGAGUGUCUUCAAAGCCCAUGACACCUUUGGUAAAGGCUGUUCUCCAACAGGAGCACUCGCAGGCCAAUGUUUCCCAGUUGGCAGUGUUUAUACUACAUUUUUUUAGAUUUGCCUUGAGACAGUCUUUGAACCUCUUUUGUUGACCACCGGCAUUACGCUUCCCAUUUUUAAGUUCGGAAUAGAAUAGUUGCUUUGGAAGACGAUCAUCAGGCAUCCGCACAACAUGACCAGUCCAACGAAGCUGAUGUUGAAGAAUCAUUGUUUCAACACUGGUGUUGUAACCAUAAUCAAACUGGUGAUGUAACCCAUGCCUUGCUCUCACCCUGUAAAAAGGGCUUUUUUCAGGGCAAGAGCACCCCAUGAGAGAGCGCAAGAUCGCAGCACCCAAAAUGGCCACCAAGAUCUUGCACAAAUUAAAAGGAUGUCCUGUUUUUCCCAGGGCGUUUGGAAGGUAUGAUUUGCAUUUUAAAAAAAAAAAUGAACUCAAAAUAGUAUCUCAGGGCAGGUCACAGUCAAACCAAAAAAAUAUGAAAACAAACAGUAGAAAUAAAUCACUGAUGGAACUACAAAAAAGGCCUCCACAACAGGUACAUGCCUUUGAAUCAGAAAACUCUGGACUCAAGAGUCAUCCCUGAUCCCAUUACUUAAGAGAUUUAACUUCUAGAAUCCCAGGAGAGAGAGCUGAAAUAUGGAGAAGUCCAGCUCAUGCAUGCUUUAAAAAGGGGGGGGGCUUUUAAAACAUCUCACCAGAAAGCAUUGAGACUGUGUUUUACUGAGGAUAGGAACAUGAAAACAGGGACACUCGUCUGAAUAUGAGGACAGUCUCUGUGCAUAUGUUCCCUCAUGACUGUCAGAGUUGGACCAUGGGGAAGAGUUUGAGAUAAAGAUCUAUUUAUCUACAUAUCCAAAUUAUUUGAUUAAGAACCUCCUUUUGGUUUGGUUUGGGGGGUUUUCACAAAUGGCAUCAUUUCAGGAAAAAAUAGAGGUGGGAAUGUUAAGAUUCCCCCCUCAAAAAAAAAUAAUCAGUAUGAUUUGUAUUAAUUGCAUGUAAUAUGACCUGCUUCUAUUACCUACUUCUCUACAAAGCAAAUAGAUACUUCUUAAGUGACUUGUAUUGCACAACAGAACCCAAGAGACCGGGAGCAUUUCAGGGUGACUUUUCCAUUUUUCUCCCCUAAAUUGAUUUUUCUUUUUAACAGUCUAUAAAUUCAAUUAUUUUCAUUGUUGGCAACUUGGCUACACAAUCAGCCAUAUCUGCAAUCGAUUAAGUCAAAGUUUUUUGAAUGGAACCCACUGAAAGCAAAUGAAGAAGUUCUUCAUUCCUAUUGAAAUCAAUGGAUGCUAAGCACACAAACUCUAAAACAAAAUCUAGCCUCCUGUUGGUGCUUGUAGAAAGCAAAGUGAGGAAAGAUGUCUCUUUCUCAUGUGUUGCUCUUAGUGAGACCAUGCAGAAGGUCCAUUCUGAAGUUUCUUUGAGGGCCCUACAAGGAGAGCAUAUCCAAGGGGUGUUCCAAAUAAAUGUUCAGAAUAAAUAUAUAUAAUAAAAAUGAUGUAGCAUUUCUAUAGCACUUUAGAAUCAGGACUGGACACUGAGGUCCAGCUCCAAGGGCCUUCUGGUGGUUCCCUCACUGCGAGAAGUGAGGUUACAGAGAACCAUGCAGAGGGCCUUCUUGGUGGUGGCACCCGCCCUGUGAAAUGCCCUCCCAUCAGAUGUCAAGGAAAUAAACAACUAUCUGACUUUUAGAAGACAUCUAAAGGCAACCCUGUUUAGGGAAGUUUUUAAUGUCUGAUGUUUUAUCAUGUUUUUAAUAUUCUAUUGGAAGUUGCCCAGAGUGGCUGGGGAAACCCAGCCAGAUGGGCGGGGUAUAAAUUAUUAUUAUUAUUAUGAAACAAGUGCAGAAUUUCAGGGUGGUGGCAAAUUCACCCCAAAGGACUACAGAUAUAUUUGACAAGAGUCACGUGUGAAUUUUUAAUAGGAGUGCAUUUAGGAGGAUUUCUUUCAUGAUUUUAACUCUUAUUAACCAGAAAUCUAAGCUGCGCCAACAUACGUGGUCUGGAAAAUUCUUUAAAAUGCACAUCUGGGGCUGGAAAGCUGGGAAUUCCUCCACUUAAUCCUUUGACAUCUCCAUCCAGAGUUGCCAAGACAUACUAGCCCAAAUAUUCUUCCUCAUGGCCAUUGGCCAGAACCUAGAGGAGUCCAGAUAGACUUCCUUCCUGGGAUCUCCCCCUUUGGGUGCCAUGUCUGCCAUGCUAGUCAGGAUAUGACCAUGAAUCAACACCUGUACUGUAUGUUUGAGUUAAAGGCUGGAUCUGCUCUCCGCAACCUGGUGACGUCCAGAUGUUUUGAUCCGCAGCUCUCACCAGCCCCAAUGGUCAUGUUGAGCAUCAUAUGCGAACAAAUACUUGACUGGUGCUUCGCUCAAUUAAUUGCCAUUUUAUGACGGUGCCGUGCCCACCCAAAUCCUUUACAAAAAGGAAGUCGGCAGUUUGGGCACAGACAGUUGCCAGGUGUCUUUCUUACAAAGGUGUCACUAUUUUACUUCCCAUCUGUGAUUGCUUCAACAUUUACAAAAGGUCAUUCUCUAUCAGAGUGACAGUUACAUUUUACAAAAUGAGGAGAAAUUUCUGUGCGGCAAAAAAAAGUAAUUUGGAUUGGGGGUGAAAUACAUUUCUUCAGCGAGAGUGAAAAUAUUCUGUCCUUAUUCAAGACAGAGGGAAAUGAAGCCAUUUUAUGGGACCGGCUGUCGACAGCUCAGAAUUUUUAUGCUGCUUUCUAAAUGCUAUAGGAGGUUUCUUGGUCUUCCAGGAAACCACUUAUUUACACGGGUGUUUUAUACGGAGAAGGAUAUUAUUUCUCAUAAGACCAUUCAGAAGAGACCUCAGGAACUGAAUGAUAUAUAUUUCAAAUUUACUUCCUGCGUAGAAUCAUUUUACAUCAAGGAGUAGCCAUUUUAUUUUUAUUUAACAAAAUUUAUAUACCGCUUGGUUGUAAUAAAACCUCCAAGUGGUUUACAAUAAAUAUUUAAAUGAUUGACAAAGAACAGUUUAAUACAAGCAAUUAAAACAUUUAGAAAAUAAUAAGAUUUAACAAGAGACUAAACCACAGAGCCUAGGGCUUGCUGAUCAGAAGGUUGACGGUUCAAAUCCCCGUGACGGGGUGAGCUCCCGUUGCUCAGUCCCUGCUCCUGCCAACCUAGCAGUUCGAAAGCACACCAGCACAAGUAGAUAAAUAGAUACCGCUCCUGUGGGAAGGUAAACGCCGUUUCCUUGUGCUGCUCUGGUUCGCCAGAAGCGACUUAGUCAUGCUGGCCACAUGACCUGGAAGCUGUACGCCGGCUCCCUCGGCCAAUAAAGUGAGAUGAGUCGGCCACGACUGGACCUAAUGGUCAGGGGUCCCUUUACCUUUACCUAACAAGAGACUAAAACACAUCAACAUCUAUGUGCCUGGAUAGGCUUGCCUAAACAAAAAUGUUUUAAGCAGUGUCAGGGAACUGCCAUCGGACGGAAGGGAGGUGAAAGGGCUCACACAGGUUGGGAGAGACGCAGCAGCUGAAGAGGGAACCAGCAGGGAGGUGAAAGGGCUCACACAGGUUGGGAGAGACGCAGCAGCUGAAGAGGGAACCAGCAGGGAGGUGAAAGGGCUCACACAGGUUGGGAGAGACGCAGCAGCUGAAGAGGGAACCAGCAGGGGGAGAGGAGCUGAGCUGGAGGGAUGGCUCAGAGACACUUCCAGCGAAAACAGUGGGGAGGUUUCAGGACCUCCUGUAAGAACACCCACUCCUCGCCGGAAACUGUCACGCAGAGAGUCCAGAAGACGUGUUUCCGUUAAGGAGCUUUUAUGUUGGAAGCGAUUACGAAAGCAACCACUGUCGGAAUCUGCUAGUGACUAGAGGAGCCAUGUCUGAGGGGCUCCGUCACAGACAGAGGUUUGUGGACUUGAACAAACUCUGAGGGGAUACGAUUUUACGCACAAGCAGCUCAUCAUCUCAUCACAGCAUUCCGACAGUCUUUGAAAGCAGCUUGUGCAGGAGAAGGCAUCAUGAGCAACCCAGCCGGAACCGGAGAAGCAGGAGCUGGAGUGGGUCCAAGCCUGGAAGAAAGGUACCGGGUGUUGGAGGUCCAGCUAGCGAUGCAGACGGCGAGGCUUGAGGAGAGGAGGGCUCAGGAUGCAGACAAAGGGGAAAGCCACCCAGCUCGCCAGAAAGGUACCAGGAUUGGUGCAGAAGUUUGGGGGGGAGCCCAAAAACUAUCAUGGCUUUCGGACAGAAAUGCAAUAUGCCCUCAAUCUGCAGUUUGAUGAAUUCCCUGACGAGGAAUCACGAGUGGCUUUCGUGAUUGAGCAUCUUGAAAAAGGGGCGAGAGACUGGGUUAGACCCCUGAUGGCAGCGAAUAGUGACGUCCUAAAGGACACGAUGAAGUUCUUUCGCGCCAUGGAUCUGAUGUUUUCCAGCGAUAUUGAAAAGGGAGUGGUGCGCAGACAGUUAAUGGCUUGCAAACAGGGGAGCCGAUCUGUCCGUGAGUACUGGACUGAGUUCACCAUGCUUGUUCACAGAUUGGGGUGGGACUUAUCGGCGGAACCCAUUCAAAUGCUCUUUGAAGAAGGGCUUUCUUCGGCUGUGAAAGACGAACUUUCCCGGGCGCCCAGGGUGGAGUCUAUGGACCAGCUGACCAAAUCAGCGCUGGCCAUAGGAGCGCGCCAGGAGGCGAGAGCAUUGGAGAGGCGGGCAGGGAAGGGGAACGUUGGAAGGAGUUCCGCAUUCCAGACAUUCCAGAGCCAACUUUCCCACCGGCAGAGCCGAUGGAAAUCGGAACAGCGCGCGCGCGCAGUUUCAAAGCCCAGUGAGGGGAAAAAGGAGGGAAAAGGCGCCCGGAAAUGCUAUCUCUGCCAACAGCCAGGUCACUUUGCCAGAGUCUGCCCCCAGAGGAAAGAAUGGCAAGGGAUGGUAGGAGCUGUGGAUGGAAGAGAGGAAGAUAUACCGGAGCAAGUAAAAGCCAACGCCUGGCUGCCACUGUCGGGGCACAGCAGCCAGGCCAAAGAGCAGUGAGAGUGCCCACGCCAGAACCUCCUAAACCCGCCCUAGUGAUAGAAGUGACGCUAGAGCUGCCAAACGGACACCCUCUAAAGAUAAAGGCGCUGUUGGACUCAGGCAGCUCCUGCAAUUUCAUGAGCAAAGAGUUUGCAGCUGAACACCAGAUACAGACGAUCCCUUUAAGCAGCCCCUGCAGGUGACCACGAUCGAUGGCAGGGAGCUGUUGGGAGGAGAAGUCAGCUUGCAGACCGUCCCAAUGAUAAUGAAGGUAGCAAGGCACACCGAACUGAUAGCUUUUAAUGUGGCCACCUUGGGAGGAGCUCCCAUUAUAUUGGGGAUGAGCUGGCUAGCGUUACAUGAUCCGCUGGUGGGCUGGCAUCAGAGAGUGGUUUCUUUUGGUUCAGCACAUUGCUUAGAACACUGCAAAGAGGGAAAGGGUUUGGCAGGGGUCCAAGCCACCCUAGCAGGGACUGAAGUAACAGAGAACGUGAAGGUACCACGACAAUAUGCAGAUCUCCGUGACGUCUUCAGCGAAAGGGAAGCUGACCAACUACCCCGCAUAGACCCUUUGACUGUCAAAUCAAUUUACUCCCUGGAGCACAGCUCCCUGUAGGCAAGCUGUACGCCAUGUCAGACAGAGAGAUGCAGGAGUUAAGAGAGUUCAUUGACAAGAACCUGAAGAGAGGGUUCAUCAGAGAGUCCAGGGCGGUGUGGGGCAGCCCAGUGUUUUUGUGGAUAAGAAAAACACGAACAAGCCGAGGCUGGUGUGUGACUUCAGGGCCUUAAAUGCAGUGUCAGAACCAGUAGCCUUCCCUAUGCCCAGGAUUGACGACAUUUUGACAAGGGUGCGGAAGGGAAAGAUUUUCACAAAGCUGGACCUAAGGGGGGCGUACAACCUGGUACGAAUAAGGAAGGGGGAUGAAUGGAAAACCACUAUGUUCACCCCUUUAGGGGCAUUUGAAUAUUUGGUUAUGCCCUUCGGCCUACAAGCAGGCUCCGCAACAUUUCAAUCGUUUAUGAACCACGUCCUGGGGCCUUUGCUUUACAAGAAUUGUGUGGCCUUUUUAGACGACGUGUUGGUGUAUUCUGAGAAUGAGGAGCAGCAUGUGAGAGACGUCAGAGAAGUGUUGAGCAGGCUGCAAGCCAACCAGCUGUGGGUGAAACUGGAGAAGUGUCAGUUUCAUACCAAGGAGGUGGAAUUCCUGGGGUAUCGCCUGUCUGACAAGGGAUUGGCCAUGGAUCCCGGCAAGGUCCAGGCGGUGCUGGAAUGGAAAACACCCAAAACAAAGAAGGAUGUGCAGAGGUUCCUAGGAUUUGGGAACUUCUAUCGUAAGUUCAUCCGAAACUUUGCCCACCUGACGGCGCCCAUUACGGACUGUCUCAGCAGUAAGAAGAAGUUCGUGUGGACUGAGGAGGCGGAGCGAGCAUUUGAGGAACUAAAAGGGCCUUCGCCUCGGAACAACAACUCCUGCAUGUGGAUUUACAAAAACCGAUGAGAGUGGAAACUGACGCAUCAGACAGAGCGAUUGGGGCGGUGCUUCUGCAGCCAGGGAAGAAGGGGUCAGAGUGGAGACCGUGUGCCUUUUUUCGCGAAAGCUGAACAAAUCCGAGAGGAACUACACGGUGUAUGACCGAGAACUACUAGCCAUUCAUGAGGCGUUCCGGAGAUGGAGGCACCUGCUAAUUGGCGCACAACAUAAGGUGCAAGUGUGCACUGACCACAAGAACUUAGAGUAUUGGAGGACGGCACGAGUGCUCAACCAACGGCAAGUGAGAUGGGCCCAGGAGUUCUCCAAAUUUAACUUUGAGAUUAAUUACGUGCCAGGCCCAGAGAACAUUAGGGCGGACGCUCUCUCACGCAAACCAGAAUAUUUGGAGGGAGGGGCACCCGAAGAGAGACAUGUCAUUCCAGAGGACCGCUGGGUGUGUGGGGCGGCAUUGGUGGGACAAAGAGAACUGGUAGAGGAAACAGAGAAUGAUGAAUACGCCCAGAAUAAGCUCAGAGGUCUUAGGGGUGAGGGAGAGGAACCAGGGGUUUCGAGGAAAGAAAUGGAGCUUUGUAUUACAAAGGGGCACUGUAUAUCCCUGAAGGAGAGUUAAGGGGAGGGUACUCAAGCAGUUGCACGACAGCCCUACGGCGGGGCAUUUUGGACAACACAAAACCAUGUGGUUGGUCACCAGGGAAUUUUGGUGGCCUAAGGUGAGGAAGAUGUACGUGAGUAUGUAAGAGGGUGCGAGCAAUGCCAGCGAGCCAAAGGGGAAAGGCGGGCGCCGGCGGGGCUGUUAGAACCCUUACCAACCCCAGAACGACCUUGGGAGGCAGUGUCGAUAGAUUUUAUGACUGAUCUGCCGAAGUCCAAAGGGAAAACAGCCAUCAUGGUGGUGGUAGACCUACUAACAAAGAUGUGCCACUUUGUAGCUUGCUCGCAUGCAGUCACGGCGGAAGAGACAGCGAAGUUAUUUGUAGAACACAUUUUUAGGUUGCACGGGGUGCCAUUGAGGGUGGUCUCAGACCGAGGAAAACAAUUUACUUCCAGGUUCUGGAGGAAGCUCAUGAGCUUACUGCAGGUGGAGGUCAAUUUUUCGACUGCCCGGCACCCUGAAACCAACGGGCAGGCGGAAAGAGCAAACGGUGUCCUCCAGCAAUACCUGAGGUGUUAUGUCAAUGACAGAGAGAAUGACUGGGUAGAAAAGUUGGCGCUGGCGGAAUUUGCCUACAACAAUGCCGAGAAUGUGUCCACAGGGAUGAGCCCCUUCUUGGCUAAUUAUGGGUGUCAUCCCAGGGCUUUCCCAGGGGCAGAUGGGGAGAGAUGGAGCGUCCCGGCAGCCGAGCAUUUUGUGGAAGAAAUGGAAGCAAUCCAUCGUCAGCUCCAACUCAACUUAGAAAGGGCGAAGGAAGAAUACAAGAGGCAGGCAGACAAGAACCGAAGGGAAGGUGAAACCAUAAGGGUGGGAGAUAGGGUGUGGCUGUCAACCCAAGGGUUGCCGUUCAAAGGAGGUUGUAAGAAAUUAAGACCCAGGAGGUUGGGUCCCUUUGAGGUCAUUCAACAGGUCAACCCAGUGGCUUUCAGGCUCCGGUUACCCAACCACAUGAAACUGCACCCAGUAUUUCACAGGUCGUUACUGUCACCGUACGAAAGGGGACGAGAAGGGCUGGCCACUCGGGGACCGGUCAUAGAAGAAAGAGAAUGCAGCAGCCAUGUGGCAGAAAUCCUCGACGCCAGGUGGAAGGGGGAUCAGGUGGAGUAUUUGGUAGCGUGGGAAGGAGAACCGGAGUCAGAAAACACUUGGGUAAUGGCCGAAGAUAUCAAUGACGAGGUAUUGAUAGAAACGUUCCAUCAAAGGUUCCCAAGGAAACCUCAGCCUGUGGAGAGGUUCCGGAGGGAAUACUUUGGGACCACUGAUGAGGGGAGGAGUUGGAAGGAUUCCCGGACUCGGAAGGGGAAGGGGAGAUGGACUCUGAGGAGGAGGUGUACUUCGAGACCAGGAACCGCAACAGGUUGAGAGAAGUGUUCGAGACAUCGGAAGAUGAAGGAAGUUCAUUCCGGGGUUUUGCCUCCUCACCGCCCGUAGAGGAGGGGGCGAGAGGGGGUGAAGGGGGCCCUGGAGGGGAGGUGGAUGUCAGGGAACUGCCAUCGGACGGAAGGGAGGUGAAAGGGCUCACACAGGUUGGGAGAGACGCAGCAGCUGAAGAGGGAACCAGCAGGGAGGUGAAAGGGCUCACACAGGUUGGGAGAGACGCAGCAGCUGAAGAGGGAACCAGCAGGGAGGUGAAAGGGCUCACACAGGUUGGGAGAGACGCAGCAGCUGAAGAGGGAACCAGCAGGGGAGAGGAGCUGAGCUGGAGGGAUGGCUCAGAGACACUUCCAGCGAAAACAGUGGGGAGGUUUCAGGACCUCCUGUAAGAACACCCACUCCUCGCCGGAAACUGUCACGCAGAGAGUCCAGAAGACGUGUUUCCGUUAAGGAGCUUUUAUGUUGGAAGCGAUUACGAAAGCAACCACUGUCGGAAUCUGCUAGUGACUAGAGGAGCCAUGUCUGAUGGUCUCCGUCACAGACAGAGGUUUGUGGACUUGAACAAACUCUGAGGGGAUACGAUUUUACGCACAAGCAGCUCAUCAUCUCAUCACANNNNNNNNNNNNNNNNNNNNNNNNNNNNNNNNNNNNNNNNNNNNNNNNNNNNNNNNNNNNNNNNNNNNNNNNNNNNNNNNNNNNNNNNNNNNNNNNNNNNUAAGACCACCCACUCCUCGCCGGAAACUGUCACGCAGAGAGUCCAGAAGACGUGUUUCCGUUAAGGAGCUUUUAUGUUGGAAGCGAUUACGAAAGCAACCACUGUCGGAAUCUGCUAGUGACUAGAGGAGCCAUGUCUGAGGGGCUCCGUCACAGACAGAGGUUUGUGGACUUGAACAAACUCUGAGGGAUACGAUUUUACGCACAAGCAGCUCAUCAUCUCAUCACAAGCAGGUACAGAACAGAAUGCAAUGAAGGUGACUGCCUGAUUUCAAUAUGCAGGAAGUUCCAAAGAUCAAUUUCUUACAACUGCAGAAUAAUGAGUAUUAUGUGGCACUUGAAAAAGUGCCAGUUCCACAGUUCGAAGCAGUUGAAUUGGCAGAUGUGGAGUAAGCAAUUGCAGAAGCAGACAGCUCCUAAGCUGAUCAGGGCUUUAUAUCCUAAUAGUAACAGCUUGAACCAGACAUGGUAGCCAAUAGACAAGCAGUGCAGAUCUCUGAGGAGGGGUGCGUUUUGCAGACAGGGUCUCACUCCUGUCAGCAGCCAAGCUGCAGCAUUCUUUACUAAUUCCAGCUUUCAGAUCAAGCAGUCAACGGUGAUCAACAGUAUCAAAAGCCACAGAGAGGAUCAAGAAUCUCUGCCCAUAAUGGAAAGUACCAUAUUUUUUGCUCUAUAAGACUCACUUUUUCCCUCCUAAAAAGUAAGGGGAAGUGUGUGUGCGUCUUAUGGAGCGAAUGCAGGCUGCGCAGCUAUCCCAGAAGCCAGAACAGCAAGAGGGAUCGCUGCUUUCGCUGCACAGCAAUCCCUCUUGUUGUUCUGGCUUCUGAGAUCCAGAAUAUUUUUUUUCUUGUUUUCCUCCUCCAAAAACUAGGUGCGUCUUAUGGUCUGGUGCGUCUUAUAGAGCGAAAAAUACGGUACCCUCGUCUUAAAUCUAUUUCUGUUCAUGUCACUUUCGCUUCAUUUAUUUAUUAAAUUUAUAUCCCGCCAAAGGAGUGCAGGGAGGCAAACAAGAAGUGAUAAAACAAUAAAAAACAUCUUCAACACGCACACAUUGAUUCGUCAAUGCAUCCCUCCCACUUCUACGUUCAUCUGUGACUUUAAAAGAAAGGUCGUACAGAAAUAUGUAUUUUUUUCUCCGAUCAAAAUACGCAUUUGUAAGUGCAGCUUUGUGUCGUUUGGAACAGAGAAUUGCAUCACAAAAUUCAGAGACGUGAGCAAUUUGAGGGGUAUCUACAUUCCAAUCCACACAUUAACCCCAGAGGUGCAGAUCAGGUUAGGUCACGUCAGAAUUCACAAAUAAUCACUUCCUUGAGCACCCGCUGCUCUAGGGCACAUCCUGAAAGUAUACCCUAGGGCAGGUAUCUUCAACCUUUCCAGACCCAGGACCCCCUUUCAACCCAAACAUGCUUUGGGGGAUGUAUUUCUUAAUCUUUUACCAUAUAUUUGCAGAGUGGUGUCGGGAUCCGUGCUGAGGAGGGCGGCACUGAGGAAGAAUUGUGGGAGCCACCCCCUCCCCCUGAUCCUCAUCCUGAAUCUUCCCAGGACAUCAUAGAUUUGGUGGGGAACAGCUAGCAGAAGAAACCCUAGAAGAGAGACAGUUAACAGAUUCGCAGGCACUGGAUAGCAUCCACCCCCCUUCUCCAAAGUCACGGAGAGCUCAGAAAGUCUCAGAACAGAAAGCACAGAGGGUACAAGCUCAGAUUACAAGACAUAGGAGUGGCGCAGAUUAAUAGGGACGGAGGGGGGAGUAUCCCUUAAUUGGGAGCACCGCCAUUUCUAAGAGAUGUGUUCUUUGCUCUCUCGCUAUGAUUAUAAAAGGUUCUAACUGGUAAGGCAUUCCUUUUGUUUGAUCUCUUAUCUACUGCCACAGGGGGAGGGAGCCUGCCAGGUGGUCGUGCUCCUGUUGCAACCCACCUUGGAUCUGGCUGCAGCCCACAGAUGGGUCCCAACCCACCAGUUGGAGGACAGUGCCCUAGGGUAGCUGUGGAUCUUCAGGGGUCCUUGGAUUCCAACUCCCAUCCAUCCCACCCAGCAUGGCCAACUGAUCAGAGCUUAUAUAAAUUGUAGCCUGGCAAUAUCUGGAGAGCCACAGAUGCCUCUUCCCACUGCUGCCCUAAAAGAUGCCCACUCUCCUAGAUCUGUUCAUUACCAGAGGAUACCAUCUGCAUUGGGAUACCUUUCUUUCAAGGGCUUGUCUACCGCUGCUGAUCUACUCACUGAGGAACUCCCUCAAGCGUCCAAUGAAUCUCCCCCCCCCCAUCUUCUUCACAUUUCAAAGGCCACGGAUCUGUAUACCUACACAUGGUCCAGCAAACACUGAUCUAUAUUAACACCACAGCUUAGCUUUGAAAACAAAAGCAGCACAGAUAACAAAAAUACAGCCUUUGAAAUAUUUUCUUUUUCUUCCCUAAAUGUUGACAUUUCAAGGAAGCUGAGCACCUCCUCUGCAAAACUGAAAUUCUCGAAGUGAGAGAAUUUCCCGAAGACUGAAGAAGGAGGCUUUUCCAUGACAGAUGGGUCUGGUGAGUUCUUUG
rnacentral:lncRNA from 1 species